rnacentral:lncRNA from 1 species
UUGCUUAAAAAACAACAACAAUUGGUUCCUCUGUUCUGAAGAAAUGAUCACAGUCAAAUUUCUGAUAAAUACUUUAUUGAAUCUUUUGCAUGAACUAGACAGAUCCAUGGUGCACAUGUAUCUUAGCCUAUCUUACACGCACCGAUUUAUUAGCACGACCCAUCCAUUGUUUCUACGUCGUUUAAUUAGAGCAGCAGCAAGAACCACCAUUGUCUGGUUUACAGUGGCUUUUUUUGAAUUCGAAAAAUGAGCAGUGGUUCCUGCACGCCUCUUCGGAUUCAUGGCCUUUCUCACAGCUUGCAAAACGCACACACAAGUCCAAGGGGAUUGGUUUUGUUGAACCUGUGCACGAGAAAGUAUAGCAGCGUCAGCAUACAUAAAUUACGUAAGUUACAUGGGUUAGGCUGAAUUACACAUGCAAAGGCGUGCGCACGCUAAAAAUGAAUAUGAAAAUAUAUAGACAAACGACUGUAGUACCUGCAUGGCAUGAUAAUAGGGUGGUAGACAUCAUCACAAGAGCUACCAAGAGUAGGGCUCUUGUGUUGUUCUUGAUAAGUUCCAUGAGGAAUGGUUUCUUGUUUCUUUAUUUCUACGUAUGUGCAAGUAUCCUUGUAGUUUGCACUUGUCAACCUAUGCCUUUUGUGUUGGUGUUUAUAUAAGCAUGACCAGACCUGGGAGGAUCAGUUCUUGCCCUUCUACUUUUGGCUGGAGUUGAUUACUACUUAUAAAACUGAAUAGAUAUAUACCAAAGUAUUUUGUGUUAAACAAGGAUAUAUACCAAAGUAUAUCUUGUGCAUAAGUUGUUAUUAAUUGGUUCUUAAGUUCUGAUAUUUGAAAUUAUUUGGUGCUUUAAAAUGACAUACAUAUCACACAGUAAAAGUUAUCUUUGACAUAGCUUGUUAUCUUCUUAAAAAUGGUGGAUUAUUAUUUGCUCUGAAUAUUGGCGAAUGUAAUUACUUGAUGUUAAGUUCUCUUAAAGUAUAUGAUCUAGAAUCUCCUUUUACUGAUAGGAUCUCAAAAAAAAAUUAGUAUUGAUCAUGAUAUUUGAAAUAUUUGACAUGACAAAGAAAAUAUUUUUUUUUUGAGGCUAAGUGAUAAUAUCAAUAGGAUGUUAUUCGAAUAAGAACAACUAAUUAUUAAUCUAUGUGGAGCGUGCUAGGUCUAAUGCCAAAGCAGACCAAGCACUCCGCAUGUUAAGAUAUGUCUGCAACGCUCGUGGAUACACUUUAUCGGUGUGUAGCACCCCAAUUUAGUUUCGAGCAAUUCAGUAAAUUCAAUACUGCAACCAAUGCACAUGCCUGACUAGUGUUUAUUUUUAGGCUACAAGAUACCGCAACACGGGGAGAAAAGCAGCAACACUACUUGGGUGUGGCCUAUAAGGUUAGAUGCCUCUAACCAAACCGGUGGAUUGAAUGUCUAUAGAGCUCUAGUGCAUAUGUCGACAUGGCACAAAUCAUCCUUCAUCAGAUUAACCCCUAUAGAAAUCUAUAUAUAGGCAUGAACAUUCUCAAGAAAAUCACUGUCAGAUAUAUAGAAUACAUACAAAUGAAUUUGUACCAAAGUGCUGAUACAAUGUAUUGUGAUGUACAAUAUGAUGACAACAAUACAUAUGUUCUUAUUACAACAUCAAAAAUGGACAUAAAUUAUAUUGACCACUCAGGAGACUGAGAGACUAUUCAUAGUCUCCAAACAUGUCGGUUGAGGCAUAUUCAACCAUCACGUUCUUCGUGCCCAUAUGGUCCCCUCACCUUUGAUGAUGUCAGGUUGAUGGUUGGAGUGGGCUUCAAACCUUUGCCCUUAAGGCCCUUUGUAUCGCAGGGAUUGCUAAUACAGAAUAACCAGAUGCUGAGAUCUAGAUCGAUAUAAUGCCUUAUGAUGCAUAAGGUAACAUAUUUAUCCUGUUAGCGGUGUGACUCCAAGCAUAGGUGAAUCCGACAGGUCUUGGAUUGCACAUAUUAUCCCACGUGACACAAGAGCGAUCAUGAUGUCCAUGGCCCAGGUAGGGCUAUGGUGGCCAUUGAGGGCGAAUGCCUCAAAUUCUCUAGCCAUCGGUUACCAGAGAUAAUUAAUUUAUGAUCAGUAAAUUAACGACCAUCAUGGUUAGUGUUCUAAUGAAUUUUGCAAAAUUAAUGGAUAUUUCAAGAACUUAGGUUGAAAUCAUUAGUGUGAAUCUCAAAUUGCUAAGUAUGACAUCUUGAAGAUAGUCUUCAAAAUGGAUUAGAUCUCGCAGCACCAAGGAGUAUAAUCUGAUGAAAUCAGUAGAUACUCACUCGUAAUGUCUUAUGUCACGACAUAGUAAAAUAUGUGGGAGAGCACUUAAUUUGUAAAGUAAUCAUAAUGUCAAGAUGACAAAAUGUUGGCUUUAACAGUAGUGGUGAUAAUUUGCAAAGCAGUAAAUCUACACACUACCUUGUGACCUCAAUACAUCAAUUUGAAGAAAUCACUAAAAAAUUUGCAUUCAUAUUUGCAAGAAAUUAACAAUCUCAAUUGCAAAUAGACGUAAUUAAUCUCGACACGUGACAAGCGUGAAAAUAUAUUACAUCAACUUAGGUUCUGGAAUACAUUGGUACUCAACAGAAAACAGUACUGAAAUAUAACAUGUAAAAACAUGAAUGAAAUCACUUCUAGAACUACUGCUAGGUGAGAUAUCUGCUAAUAUGUUAAAUCAAUGGAGCAAAUAGCAAGUAAAGCAAGCGUUGCUGGCUGCCUAAAGUCCCAGCCACAAGCAAAUUGGCCACGUAAAAGGCAGCCUAGCCUGGUCAACCCGAGCAGACAAGGGAGAGCGACCAGAGGAAAAAUCGCCCAGGAGCUUUCUAUCCCAAAUCCGGACCGAGACAGGCGGAGACCCCAGCGCUGGCCGACCGGCCGCAUCACCGACGGCGAGAAGAGAUCCCGCCGCGCUCGUCCUCGAAUGAGUCACCAGGGAGGACUCGCGAGCCCGAGCGCCUCGGCACGGCCGGAGCGGCUGCUCGACGGUGGGCUCACCAGCGGGACGCCGAGUGGCAAGGGAGCCGCGUCCCGUGGAGGACGGCAUGCACGGGUAUCCCGGCAGCAAGAAGGCGAGCGCGUGGCUGGCGACGACCUCGACGACCGCGGGGGUCGGAGAUGGCAGCGGCGCAGCCUCGUGCGUCUGCGAGCACCGCGUCGGGAGGUGCGAGUCAGACCGCACCGACUGUCGCUGUCGUUCCUUGACUGUAUGGCGCGGUUCCGUCGUACGCCAGUGCCAGGAGCCGGUGAAAGAAGAUAAGGAGGGCGCGUGGCAAGAUACGGCACCGUGGCUGAUGCUAGUGCUUUCUACAGAGUGAAAAAAACAUGGUGAAGUACCUUUUUUCUUCUCAUAUGGCAGUUUGUUGGUUGCUAAAAAAAACGAGACCAACUGUGACGCCCGGAUAAUUAAGCUACAGUGAUCCCACGCUAAUAUUGCCACGUCACCAUGGUUACUGCUGCUAAUCUAUCGCUAGAUCAAAACCGGUCCAAAAUUCAAAUUCAAAGUUUGGUAAAUAAUAAAAAAUUCAAACAUUAAAAUAAAAAUGUUUGGUUUGUACUAAAUAUUGCAUAGGUAAUUAUGGUGGAGAGACCACACUUCUAUAAAAUGUUAAAUAAUCUAAAAUGAAUAAAUAGUAGCUAAAACAAUUAAUAAGUGCUUUUUGAAUUUUAUAAAAUACUAAACUAUUUUGUUCAGGGGUAAAACCUUUUGUGACGGUAGUUGGAAUUGUAACUCUAUUUUAGAUGUGGGUUUUACCUUUUGUAAAACUAUAAAAUAUUAAAGAAAUAAAAGAAAACGGAAAGCAAAGAAAAGAAUAAAAACAAAAAAAGAAACUAGAAAAAAGAGAGGAAAGGACCCCCCCACUGGGCCAACNNNNNNNNNNNNNNNNNNNNNNNNNNNNNNNNNNNNNNNNNNNNNNNNNNNNNNNNNNNNNNNNNNNNNNNNNNNNNNNNNNNNNNNNNNNNNNNNNNNNNNNNNNNNNNNNNNNNNNNNNNNNNNNNNNNNNNNNNNNNNNNNNNNNNNNNNNNNNNNNNNNNNNNNNNNNNNNNNNNNNNNNNNNNNNNNNNNNNNNNNNNNNNNNNNNNNNNNNNNNNNNNNNNNNNNNNNNNNNNNNNNNNNNNNNNNNNNNNNNNNNNNNNNNNNNNGCUUUCCCCCAUCCGCCGCCACCUGCGUGCUCGCACAUAUCGCGCCCGGGAGAGGAGCUCCCCGCGCACGUCCCCUUCGCGAGUGCCUCCUACCACCGUGAAUGCAAGCCGCUCCGGCGAUGCUUCGCUACCCUGCCACCCACCGGCUCCCUUCCCCCUCUUCCUCUGCGCCUCCCCGUCGCCCCUGCCCGACUGCCUUGUCAUCGGCGGCCCGCGCCGCGCCGGCCAUCAGAGCAACCAGCCAGCACCACCAGCUCCUCCCGCGUGACGACCAUGUCGUUCUCCAUCGUCUGCGUCCGCUUGUCGCCCCGCUCACCGUCGUCGCCUCGCCAUCGCCGGACCUCCUCGUCCCCUUCCUCGAGCCGUCUUCAUCAAGCCUCGCCGGCGUACAUCUACAACGUGGGGUGAGGACCCGUUCUUCCCCUUCCCCCUUCGGUUGCCGGCGACGAUUGCAUCCAGCACCGAACCUGCCGUGGGCCGCUCCCUUGUACUAUUCGCUGCGCCUGCAGCCGGCGCCCUCACGCGCACACGCCCGUGCGUGGCCUCAUUGCCGCUGCUGCCGUGCUAUGCCAGCCGCUCGCCUCGCGCCGUCACAGCCGCCGUUCGGGUUCGCCCGUUAACGGGCGCCUGCCCGUCACCCAUUUCCCUUUCGCCCGUUCAGGCUGUGCCCAUCGCCCAUGCCUGCUAUGGCCCCAGGGGCCUAUGACAAGUGGGCCCUUGCCCUAGAACGUUUAUAAAAAUGUUAAAACUAAUUAGUUAAUUAAUUAAUUAGUGAAUUAAUUAAAUUAAUUAAUUCUGUUUAACUAGACUAAUUAAAAUUAGUUAACAUAAUCCAGUAAUUAAACUAAUUAACCAUGUUUAGUUAAUCUAUGGCUAUGACGGGCGUGACCCACCUGCCAGGGUUGACCUAGUCAACCUUUGGUCUUGCUGACAUCAUGUAGAUGUCAUGCUGACAUCACAUUUAUAUUUUGUAAUUAAAUUAGUUCUGUUAAUUCUAAAAAUGAAUUAAAAUUUCGAUAAUUAAUAUAAAAUAAACCGUAACCUGGAUGAAAAUACUUUGUACAUGAAAGUUGCUCAGAACGACAAGGCGAAUCCGAAUACGCAACCCGUUCGUCCGCCACGCGUCCCUAGCAUAGCAAACAUGCAACUUUCCCCCUUCGAUUCAUCUGUCCGAAAACGCGAAACACCGGGGAUACUUUCCCGGAUGUUUCCCCCUUUCGCCGGUACCACCUACUGCCACGUUAGGGCACACCUAGCACCGCGUAUUGCCAUGUUACGCUUUGUGAUGCUUUGAUUGCUCCAUUAUUUAUUGUGUUCCCCCUCCAUUACUUCUUUCCGGUAGACCCCAAGACUGCCAGCGACCCCAGUUCGACUAUGAAGUUGACGACCCCUCCUUGCCAGAGCAACCAGGCAAGCCCCCCCUUGAUCACCAGAUAUCGCCUAUUCUCCUCUAUACUGCUUGCAUUAGAGUAGUGUAGCAUGUUACUGUUCGGUUACUCCUAUUCUGUUGCAUAGCCUGUCAUUGUUGCUACAGUCAUUGAUACCUUACCCGCAGUCCUAAAUGCUUAGUAUAGGAUGCUAGUUUAUCAUCAUUGGCCCUACAUUCUUUUCAUUCUGCCUUGCUAUACUAUCGGGUCGUGAUCACUUGGGAGGUGAUCACGGGUAUAUACUAUACAUAUAUACAUACUAUACAUAUAUACAUACUAUACAGAUGGUGACUAAAGUCGGGCCAGCUCGUUGAGUACCCGCAAGUGAUUCUGAUGUGGGGGCUGGAAGGACAGGUGGCUCCAUCCCGGUAGAGGUGGGCCUGGGUUCCCGACGGCCCCCGACUAUUACUUUGUGGCGGAGCGACAGGGCAGGUUGAGACCGCCUAGGAGAGAGGUGGGCCUGGCCCUGGUCGGCGUCCGUGGUUAUUUCAUAAUAACACGCUUAACGAGAUCUUGGUAUUUGAUCUGAGUCUGGCCACUGGCCUAUACGCACUAACCAACUACGCGGGAACAGUUAUGGGCACUCGACGUCGUGGUAUCAGCCGAAGCCUUCUUGACGUCAGCGACGGAGCAGCGCGUGCCAGAUUGGACUGGAACGCCUACUCUUGUAUAAGGGAGGCUAGGUCUGCUUCCGGCCGCCCUCGCAACGUGCAGGUGUGCAAUGGGCGAUGGGCCCAGACCCCUGCACGCAUAGGAUUUAGACCGGUGUGUUGACCUCUCUGUUGUGCCUAGGUGGGGCUGCGACGUGUUGAUAUUCCGAGGCCGGGCAUGACCCAGGAAAGUGUGUCCGGCCAAAUGGGAUCGAGCGUGUUGGGUUAUGUGGUGCACCCCUGCAGGGAAGUUAAUCUAUUCGAAUAGCCGUGAUCUUCGGUAACAGGACGACUUGGAGUUGUACCUUGACCUUAUGACAAGUAGAAUCGGAUACUUAAUAAAACACACCCUUCCAAGUGCCAGAUACAACCCGGUGAUCGCUCUCUAACAGGGCGACAAGGGGAGGAUCGCCGGGUAGGAUUAUGCUAUGCGAUGCUACUUGGAGGACUUCAAUCUACUCUCUUCUACAUGCUGCAAGACGGAGGCUGCCAGAAGCGUAGUCUUCGAUAGGGCUAGCUAUCCCCCUCUUAUUCUGGCAUUCUGCAGUUCAGUCCACUCAUAUUGCCUCCUUACACAUAUACCCAUGCAUAUGUAGUGUAGCUCCUUGCUUGUGAGUACUUUGGAUGAGUACUCACGGUUGCUUUUCUCCCUCUUUUCCCCCUUUCCCUUCUACCUUGUUGUCGCAACCAGAUGUCGGAGCCCAGGAGCCAGACGCCACCGUCGACGACGACUCCUACUACAUUGGAGGUGCCUACUACUACGUGCAGGCUGCUGACGAUGACCAGGAGUAGUUAGGAGGAUCCCAGGCAGGAGGCCCGCGCCUCUUUCGAGCUGUAUCCCAGUUUGUGUUAGCCUUCUUAAGGCAAACUUGUUUAACUUAUGUCUGUACUCAGAUAUUGUUGCUUCCGCUGACUCGUCUAUGAUCGAGCACUUGUAUUCGAGCCCUCGAGGCCCCUGGCUUGUAAUAUGAUGCCGGUAUGACUUAUUUUACUUUUAGAGUUGUGUUGUGAUAUCUUCCCGUGAGUCCCUGAUCUUGAUCGUACAUAUUUGCAUGCAUGAUUAGUGUACGAUUGAAUCGAGGGCGUCACAAGUUGGUAUUAGAGCCGACUGCCUGUAGGAAUCCCCUUCCACACUCCUUGGCCAAAGUCGAGUCUAGUCACUACAAAACUUUUACUAACAUGGCUGCGUGUCUUACGGGCCCACGUCUCCAUUUGGGUGGUAUUAGGAUCUUUUACUCCUCGUCUAUACUCUGGGACUCUGAUCUCUCUUCUAUUCGGGUUAAAUGAUUUUGCUAAAAAGACUAACUUUAGGUUCUCGAAAAUACUUUCUCCCGGAGAGCCCUCACUCCAGAUGAUCGCUUGCCGCACCAGAAGAUUCCGAAGAUACUCUUCGAGGUUUUUCCGAGACCCUUGUGCCCAUCGACUUUAUAAUCCCCUACCACCGAUAAACCCUUAUGGAUAACUACCUACAAUUGUCGUUCAUACCUUCAUCCUCAGUUGCUCUUGUUAUUACAAGAUGCCUUAAGUUGCUCUACGUUGUUCCGAAAAUCUUUUAAGCUUACUGUGUUGCAGUUCUCUACCACAUGAAUACCCCUAUUGAAAAUUCCUCGCACUUAUUGAGUAUCCGUUCAUCCCCAGUUGUUCAUAUGCUUCAUAAGAGUCUCUGAAAUACUAUCCGACCUUCUGAGCAUCCUCUUCAAACUAUUGCUCUGCAAAUACUUGUAUGCUUACAUUAUGGAUGCUCCCAUAUCACUAGCAAUAUUCACUAGUAUCUUUUGACACUGUCAUUUUGAUCCUAUUGAUUCAACAUGUGUGCGAAUGCACACAAUCAUCAAUCGACCCUUCUAAAUUAUCUUUCCGUCUCAGACAUCAUUCUGAACAUGAACUGGUUCUAGACCAAACUAUUUGUCGUCAAUUGUGCCUCUGGUCUAUCCAACUUAUCCAUCCUUGAUCAUAGCGUCUGCUUCUGAUCCCUUGUUUUGGAAAUCAUAAUUCCUUUGUUAUCUAAGCAUCGAAUUAUUCGGAUAUUCUAUAAUCUGAUGCCCGUGCAUUCUUUCUUCCUCUGAUUGAGUACUGAUACUCAGAUCAGCUCCGGUGUGGAUCGCCCGAUCCAUUGUUGGAUUUCAUCCGACAUCGUCUUUCAUAUUCAAUAACCUUGUGAGCCUUUCCACGGGUAUAUAAUGCCUUUGGUAAAUUGUAUCCUUUGCUUGGCCAACCAUGCUCUGCUUUCAAGCUUGUGUAUUUACUUUUGAAACUUGUGGUAUAUGUUACUAAGAUGCCCGAUGGGUUGAACCUAUGCCUUCCCCUAAUUCGUGAGAACCCGAAAGUUUUCACAAGUCAUACUCUUCUGGUGUUUUACCAGAUAAAAUUCCAAAACUACAGUUAUAUCAAAGCGAGAGGUGAAUGAAAUGAUAUGCAUUAAAGAAGUGGGAGUUAACCUUGAACUUUGUGUUCAUGCCCAUGAAAAUGAUGUAGACCAUCUCGGAAGCUUCUUGCAAAAUGAUUAUCCAGCUGUAUGAUUCUUUCGGUAUUCUUGAAUUGAUUCCUUACAGUUAUGGUUCCGACCAUGCUGUCCUGAUCUGAUAUAUCUGAUGGGAAUUCAUUCCAAUGCCUCGUCUAUUUUUGGCGAGGUUAAAGUAUCUACUAUCACAGAUCAAUGACCCGGUUCUACUUCUAUCAUGUUCUACCUUCGAGUAUUACCCCUGGUAUCUCAAAGAUAUCUUGCCAUUGCACCACAUCUUACUAACUUUGUUGAAGUAAUGUCUUUCCUUGUCGUAAUCACUCUACGGGUUCCGGGUUGUUGUCAACCGAGGACACCGACUAGUGAAAUUAUUCUGCACUACAAAUCAAAUACCCCUAGUAUUUUUACUAGGAAAUUUUGAACUCAAUCUGCUCAUUCCUAGACUAUCGGCUGCAUCCUGGUCUUGCUACCUUUGACUGUGCUACCUCGUCCUUCUCUAGUGCACGAAUUCUUCAGUGUGUGAGCACGACUUACGUCGAGCUUUCAACAUCAUGUUGCUUGUCUUCAAAGGCAACUUUGGUUCCGAGCUUGCAUCUUAUAUAUUGAUCCUAUAACUUGCCACUUCGUCAUUUCCUUGCUUGUUGCCAUUGUUGUUUGAUUGCAUCCUCUUGAAACCUCCCGGCAAAUGUGUCGGAUCACCUUCAACACUUUGACUUCUUUCGAGAUGUCAACUGUGUUCAUCAUGAGAAAUACCCUCCUUGCCCUCGAUGAUUUUUAGUAUCAUCGACAACACCCUUGACUUUCCUUUCAUCGCGAACUUGUCCACAUUAUGAAUACAACUUGCUUUCCAGCUUGUAUUAUGUUCUACCUUGAAGUAUUACUAUCUUUUAUGUCAAGGAUGUUGUGAGGAUUGCUCCACCUCUUGAGAGUUCCUAGUAUAGUGAUACUUCUCACCAUCACCAUUAAUUCUUGUUCCCUAUGUCAAUUCUAACUGGUACACCGACAAGUGAACGGUACUCUUUGGAUUCUGCACUUCUAGUGACCCUAUUGCUUUGAAGUUAAUGGUCUACAUUUCAUUCUUAGACCAUUGGUUAUCGAAUCAUCGUUCUAAGCAUUGAUCAUGCUACAUAGGCCCAUAUUUUGGGUGCACCUUUUCAACCAAUGUUUAAUUGUGUAUGUUUUCCUCGAGCAUACAUCAUUAUAUCAUCUGAUCUGACUGAUGUUAUCUCCUUGUUCACAUGAUUGUGGAAAUCCAUAUUUCUGGAAAUUUUGAUGGGUUGUCGCUGAGUCCAUCAGCCACCUCCGCAUCCUCUCUUUUGUUUACUAUGAACUCUUGUUUCGGUACUCGCUUCCAUAGUUCAUUUUCCGAGAAUUUUACAAUGUCAUCUCGUCAAUUUGUGUUGUACCUUUUCUUCUCAGGCAUCCCGAGUCUGAGGAUUUUGACACCAAUCAGAUCUGAAUCUUUGUCAGAUAUGAUGGUUGGGACAUAUUUCCAAGAGUUAUAACAUUGGUAUUUAUAUGACCCAGUAAGGUGAUGUCAUGCCUAGCACACCUGGCCCGAGUCCCUAUUGUUAUAGAAUCCUUUUCAGCAAGGCUAUCCAUUCUUCCAUGAGGAAAUUGUAAGACUUACCCUAUAAGUUGUUUCCGAUGAAUCCUUUGUGUUUCCAAAGUUUGAUCAUCAGCUGAUGACCAUGCCAAUGCUAUCUCGAAGCAUGUCUGUGGUACUCCGAUUUUCAACAAGAACAUUUGAAGCCCAAUGCUAAAUGUUUCUUACUCAAUUAUCCAAACACCGUUGCAUGGGUAAUGUCAUGAAAUUUCUCUCCCCUUACCUAAAGGGUUUUCUACAUUAUAUCCUGUCAUGGAUAUCAUGCUCGGCUUGUCCUUGGGAAGGAUAUACCCUGAAAUAUGUGUUUAAACACAUAUUCCUUUCCAUUAAAUUGUUUGACCUUCCUUGUGAUCCAUAUGAUCUAAGCACUAAUGUUCUUCUGCUUAUGUAAACACCUUAGUGUACAACCGUGUCAGUAAGACCCUGUUGCAUUUCUCGAUAGCAUUCCGGUAACCACCGAUGGACGAGAACUUUGCCUAUUGGUCCGCCUCGUCCUAACGAGCAGGAAAAUGGUUCUCUUUGUCCCUCGCCCUUGGUACCGACGUUAUUGCCGACAUAAUCGGCAGGCUACCCUCAGACAUGCCUUGCUUGCAUGAUCACGCAAGACGUCUCCGCCCUUCCUACUUUUAACCCACAUGGUGGGCCCAUAACCCACAGUUCCACAUGAUCGAAACCUGACUCUCCUGUGCACCCCCUGUUCCCAAAUUUAUUCCUCGCGCGUGGCCUCGUAUGUAAUUCACGGACCACCGUCCUACUGAUCUAUACUGGCAUAAGACAAAAUACUUAUUCUGAUUGCUUUGAACCCCUUUCACACUCUGUUUCAGGCAUCGAACGAUUGCCUGCCGCUUGAAACUUCUCAUGACACCUUCCUACUUUGCUCUCGAUAUUUUCUAAAGGUUUUUAAUUCGAGAGUUACUUCCCCCACCUUCCCCGAUGUUAUCAACAAGUUAGUCAACCUUGCAGAGGUCUGUUCUCCCAGCCCCUUUAUUCUUUCAUAAGUACGGUGAAAGUUCCUGAAGAAAGGAUGCCGACUUCAUCAUGAUGACUGGAGCAGAGAAAUAAAGAAAUCAACGAAAGGGAUCAACUUCUUCGAGAAGAGCAACCGAAACUGAGAAGAUCCGUUAGAUUUUUUGUAACCCAAUCCUUUUCCCCUUACUCCCCUCCUAAAUCUCGGGACGAGAUUUCUUGUAGUGGAGGAGAAUUGUGACGCCCGGAUAAUUAAGCUAUAGUGAUCCCACGCUAAUGUUGCCACGUCACCACGGUUACUGCUGCUAAUCUAUUGCUAGAUCAAAACCGGUCCAAAAUUCAAAUUCAAAGUUUGGUAAAUAAUAAAAGUUUUCACACAUUAAAAUAAAAAUGUUUGGUUUGUACUAAAUAUUGCAUAGGUAAUUAUGGUGGAGAGACCACACUUCUAUAAAAUGUUAAAUAAUCUAAAAUGAAUAAAUAGUAGCUAAAACAAUUAAUAAGUGCCUUUUGAAUUUUAUAAAAUACUAAACUAUUUUGUUCAGGGGUAAAACUUUUUGUGAUGGUAGUUGGAAUUGUAACUCUAUUUUAGGUGUGGGUUUUACCUUUUGUAAAACUAUAAAAUAUUAAAGAAAUAAAAGAAAACAGAAAGCAAAGAAAAGAAUAAAAACAAAAAAAACAAAACUAGAAAAAAGAGAGGAAAGGAACCCCCCCCCACUGGGCCAACGGGCCCAACUGGCCAGCCAGGCCCCCUCGCGCCCCUCGCCUAUAUGGCCUGCCCUCCCGGCCAACCCUAGCCACACCAUCCUGCACUCCUCGAUCCCCAUCUCUCCCCUCGCUUUCCCCCAUCCACCGCCACCUGCGUGCUCGCACAUAUCGCGCCCGGGAGAGGAGCUCCCCGCGCACGUCCCCUUCGCGAGUGCCUCCUACCACCGCGAAUGCAAGCCGCUCCAGCGAUGCUUCGCUACCCUGCCACCCACCGGCUCCCUUCCUCCUGUUCCUCUGCGCCUCCCCAUCGCCCCUGCCCGACUGCCUUGUCAACGGCGGCCCGCGCCGCGCCGGCCAUCGCAGCAACCAGCCAGCACCACCAGCUCCUCCCGCGUGACGACCACGUCGUUCUCCAUCGUUUGCGGCCGCUCGUCAACCCGCUCAUCGUCGUCGCCUCGCCAUCGCCGGACCUCCCCGUGCCCUUCCUCGAUCCGUCUUCAUCAAGCCUCGCCGGCGUACAUCUACAACGUGGGGUGAGGACCCCGUUCUUCCCCUUCCCCCUUCGGUCGCCGGCGACGACCGCAUCCAGCACCGAACCUGCCGUGGGCCGCGCCCUUGCACUAUUCGCCGCGCCUGCAGCCGGCGCCCUCACGCGCACACGCCCGUGUGUGGCCUCAUUGCCGCUGCUGCCGCGCUAUGCCAGCCGCUCGCCUCGCGCCGUCACAGCCGCCGCUCGGGUUCGCCCGUUAACGGGCGCCCGCCCGUCACCCAUUUCCCUUUCGCCCGUUCAGGCUGUGCCCAUCGCCCAUGCCUGCUAUGGCCCCAGGGGCUUAUGACAAGUGGGCCCUUGCCCUAGAAUGUUUAUAAAAAUGUUAAAACUAAUUAGUUAAUUAAUUAAUUAGUGAAUUAAUUAAAUUAAUUAAUUCUGUUUAACUAGACUAAUUAAAAUUAGUUAACAUAAUCCAGUAAUUAAACUAAUUAACCAUGUUUAGUUAAUCUAUGGCUAUGACGGGCGUGACCCACCUGCCAGGGUUGACCUAGUCAACCUUUGGUCUUGCUGGCAUCAUGCACAUGUCAUGCUGACAUCAUAUUUAUAUUUUGUAAUUAAAUUAGUUCUGUUAAUUCUAAAAAUGAAUUAAAACUUUGAUAAUUAAUAUAAAAUAAACCAUAACCCGGAUGAAAAUACUUUGUACAUGAAAGUUGCUCAGAACGACGAGGCGAAUCCGAAUACGCAGCCCGUUCGUCCGCCACGCGUCCCUAGCAUAGCAAACAAGCAAAUUUCCCCCUCCGGUUCAUCUGUCCGAAAACGCGAAACACCGGGGAUACUUUCCCGGAUGUUUCCCCCUUUCGCCGGUACCACCUACUGCCGCGUUAGGGCACACCUAGCACCGCGUAUUGCCGUGUUACGCUUUGUGAUGCUUUGAUUGCUCCAUUAUUUAUUGUGUUCCCCCUUCGUUACAUCUUUCCGGUAGACCCCAAGACUGCCGGCGACCCCAGUUCGACUACGGAGUUGACGACCCCUCCUUGCCAGAGCAACCAGGCAAGCCCCCCCUUGAUUACCAGAUAUCGCCUAUUCUCCUCUAUACUGCUUGCAUUAGAGUAGUGUAGCAUGUUACUGUUUGGUUACUCCUAUUCUGUUGCAUAGCCUGUCAUUGUUGCUACAGUCAUUGAUACCUUACCCGCAAUCCUAAAUGCUUAGUAUAGGAUGCUAGUUUAUCAUCAUUGGCCCUACAUUCUUGUCAUUCUGCCUUGCUAUACUAUCGGGCCGUGAUCACUUGGGAGGUGAUCACGGGUAUAUACUAUACAUAUAUACAUACUAUACAGAUGGUGACUAAAGUCGGGCCAGCUCGUUGAGUACCCGCAAGUGAUUCUGAUGUGGGGGCUGGAAGGACAGGUGGCUCCAUCCCGGUAGAGGUGGGCCUGGGUUCCCGACGGCCCCCGACUGUUACUUUGUGGCGGAGUGACAGGGCAGGUUGAGACCGCCUAGGAGAGAGGUGGGCCUGGCCCUGGUCGGCGUCCGUGGUUAUUUCAUAAUAACACGCUUAACGAGAUCUUGGUAUUUGAUCUGAGUCUAGCCACUGGCCUAUACGCACUAACCAACUACGCGGGAACAGUUAUGGGCACUCGACGUCGUGGUAUCAGCCGAAGCCUUCUUGACGUCAGCGACGGAGCGGCGCGCGCCGGAUUGGACUGGAACGCCUACUCUUGUAUAAGGGAGGCUAGGUCUGCUUCCGGCCGCCCUCGCAACGUGCAGGUGUGCACUGGGCGAUGGGCCCAGACCCCUGCGCGCAUAGGAUUUAGACCGGCGUGUUGACCUCUCUGUUGUGCCUAGUUGGGGCUGCGAUGUGUUGAUCUUCCGAGGCCGAGCAUGACCCAGGAAAGUGUGUCCGGCCAAAUGGGAUCGAGCGUGUUGGGUUAUGUGGUGCACCCCUGCAGGGAAGUUAAUCUAUUCGAAUAGCCGUGAUCUUCGGUAACAGGACGACUUGGAGUUGUACCUUGACCUUAUGACAACUAGAACUGGAUACUUAAUAAAACACACCCUUCCAAGUGCCAGAUACAACCCGGUGAUCGCUCUCUAACAGGGCGACGAGGGGAGGAUCGCCGGGUAGGAUUAUGCUAUGCGAUGCUACUUGGAGGACUUCAAUCUACUCUCUUCUACAUGCUGCAAGACGGAGGCUGCCAGAAGCGUAGUCUUCGAUAGGGCUAGCUAUCCCCCUCUUAUUCUGGCAUUCUGCAGUUCAGUCCACUCAUAUUGCCUCCUUACACAUAUACCCAUGCAUAUGUAGUGUAGCUCCUUGCUUGCGAGUACUUUGGAUGAGUACUCACGGUUGCUUUUCUCCCUCUUUCCCCCCUUUCCCUUCUACCUGGUUGUCGCAACCAGAUGUCGGAGCCCAGGAGCCAGACGCCACCGUCGACGACGACUCCUACUACACUGGAGGUGCCUACUACUACGUGCAGGCUGCUGACGACAACCAGGAGUAGUUAGGAGGAUCCCAGGAAGGAGGCCUGCGCCUCUUUCGAUCUGUAUCCCAGUUUGUGCUAGCCUUCUUAAGGCAAACUUGUUUAACUUAUGUAUGUACUCAGAUAUUGUUGCUUCCGCUGAAUCGUCUAUGAUCGAGCACUUGUAUUCGAGCCCUCGAGGCCCCUGGCUUGUAAUAUGAUGCUUGUAUGACUUAUUUUACUUUUAGAGUUGUGUUGUGAUAUCUUCCCGUGAGUCCCUGAUCUUGAUCGUACACAUUUGCAUGCAUGAUUAGUGUACGAUUGAAUCAGGGGCAUCACACCAACCCCGCCUGGUGGCAUUUUUGUAUACAAGAAAACUCCAUGAGCACCAAACACUCAAGCAUAGACUUGAACCCUAAUGGGCUGGCUGCGAACUCCCGCGCCUUGCCAACUGAGCUACGCUCAAUUCUCAUCAGUUUGUUGAUUGCUAUUUUGGCCUUGAUGAUCUUUGAAUCGAUGGAUUCCAACACCCACUUAUUCUGUUGUCGAUUCAGAAGCGCCUCGUUUAUUCUGAUUUUGGCGAGUUAAUUGCACAGAAGUACCACAAUUGAGGCAUCACAUGCAGAUUGGUGCCACGAUUGCUAAUUUUUGCGUGUCAGUACCAACAUUGGUCCAGGUUUUUACAAAAGAGGCUAAAAUGCGUAUUUAUACGUAUUGACGCUAGAACCGACAACUGGGCCCCACCCGUCAGGUGCCACGCUGGCCAAUCGGCGCAUGCCUGCGUGUGCCCGCGCGCUGACUAGGACAAGCCGGUGCGUUGCUCUCCUAACCGGCGCGGUCGCACCAGCCCGAGCCCGGCCGCACCAUUCCCCUCCCCUCUUCCUCCUCGACUCGAACCCUAGUCCAUGGCGUCGACGACUCCGCCAGGCGGCGGUGAGGGCGUCCAUGGCGGCGGUGAGAUGUCGUUCUGGCCUCCUAGCGGAAUGGCUGGCGUGGACGGGGAUGGCGGCGACGACUCCAGCUCCGCGUACUCGUUCGACGACGAGGAGUCGAUGUUACUCACCAUGGAGCAGCGGUUGCGGUUGGCGCAUCAGUGGGUGGCGAACCCUAGCAGCAGCCAUGAGUUGACGCAUGGACUAGGCGACGUGUUGUAAGUACCCUUGUCCUACUCCUCCUCUGAUUUAUCCAAUUGGGCAUUUUUAGGGUUUGUUCAUCUUCUGCUUUAUCCAGUUGGGUAUUAGGUUUUAUCCAAUUGAAGUGACUAGUAUAGGACAAUUAAAUUAACCUAGUAACAUAGUGUAUUGCACUCUCAAAUUAGUUCAAUUACAGUAAAAGUUUGGGAUUAUGGUUUUACUAAGUGAAUUAUUGUGGCCUUGUCUUUUUCCUUGAUUUUGCUAUUGUGCUGAAUUAGUAAAGUACAUUGAUUCAUGUUUUAGCAUCUGUAAUAGUAAUAGUAAAUAUUAGACUUACAGGUUAUUUUAAAUUGUUCUGUACUGUAGUGUUGCUCUCCAAAUUAAGAGCAAUUAUAAUGAAUACAUGAAAUUUAAUUUGUUCUGUAGUUUUGAUGAAGACAUUUGGCAAGUAAGGAUCCAUUUUGAUGCAAGAGAACCAUUGGAGAUGAAGCUGUGUGGUUCAGAUAUUACUUAUCUGAAUUUGGUUGCAGUGAUGGAAACCCAAGGAUUUAAUGCAUAUGAUUGUUUGUAUCACAUUGAAAAUCCAUCUUUAGGAGAGAAAGGGCUGGAUUUGGUAGACAAUCAUGCAGAAUUACAGAUGAUAAAGAGGAAGAUCCAGGACAAAUUGGUGCUUAAUUUGCUAGUCAGGGCUUGUCCACCCCAUGAUACUGAUUUUGAGAUGCAACAUUUUGGAAAGCCAGAGUUGUCCACUGUGGUGUACCAAGAGCCUAUUGUUUAUGAUCCGAGUGAGCCUCCUAUCUUAGCUGUCGACCAGGAAGGAGUAGUUUUUGAGAGUCAAUGUAGCAUCUCUAGCACACCUCAUCCUGCUGGUCCUCCUGGUGUUUGCACACAAGAAAGCAAGAAUGCAACAGCCAAGUUAAAAUCAGUUUUGGAAGAAGAAGAAGAGGGAUAUCAAGGAUUUGAGGCUUAUGAGGACAGUGAUGCCUCUGAUGAGGAUGGUCAAAUUGGAAGUGACCCUCAUUACAUCGUUGAUGAUGAAGAUGUAGAGGUGGAAGAGGGAAAGAGACAGAGAGAGCUAGAAGUACAAGAGGAAGAACCAGAUGAUGAUCAAACAGAAGAGGAAGAAAUGAUGCAUUAUGAGGGUGACACUGAAGUUGAGGACCCAUUUGAGGUAGAGGAAGAUAGGACUUUUGAACAAGAAGAAGAAAUUAUAGUUGAGCCUGUAAAGAAGAAGCAGAAGCUGCCAGUUAGAAGAGGACCAACCACUAGGUCACAUUGUAGUAAGCUACCAGAGGUUGAACCUGAUUUCAGACCAUCAUCAGAUGAAGAAGAGAAGGGGUUGUUGAGGGAGAGUGAUGAUGAUGGUUUUGAGCCACUCUCUUUUGUCCUACUAAAGAAAAGGAAGAGUAGGGCAAAGAAAAGGCCUGCUAGGAAGUGUUACAAUGAGAAAAUGGAGCAACCACAUGAGCAACUGUGUAUAAAGUUGUGUUUUAGGGAUCAGCAUCAAUUCAGAGAUGCUUUGUUGAAUUUGCACAUCACUCAGGCCAGGGAUUUCAAGUAUCACAGGAAUUCAGAUCAAAGGAUAAUUGUUGAGUGUACAGAUAAACAAUGCCAAUUCUUAAUGGUGGCAGCAGUUAUAAAAGGGGGAAAACCUUUGUAAUUAAGAAGAUGAGACUAGAGCACACUUGCCCUAGUACCACUGAGACCACCAGGGUUAGUGCUAAGUGGCUAGCACAGAAAUAUGAGCAUCUCUUCAUAUCUGAUAUAACUACUGGUAUUCAGACUAUAAUUGAUGCAUGCAAUGAAAAAUAUGGUGUAGAUGUGCCCAAGUGCAUGGCAUAUAGGGCAAAGAACAUAGCUAUUGAAGCUGUGUUAGGAGAUCACAAGAAGCAAUAUACUAGGCUUAAAGACUAUGCUCAGACUGUCAUGGACACAAACCCUGGGAGUAGAGUAAUAGUCACUACUAUUACUCCAGUACCAAAUGCAAAAAUACCCCACCCAGGCCCAAGAUUCCAUGCCAUGUUCUUUUGCCUUAAUGGAGCAAGGGAGGGGUUUCUCAAUGGGUGUAGGCCAUUCACUGGUUAGUUCCCUAACCCUGUGCACCAUUUACAUACGUAGAGUACUCCAUAUUGUAUCUCACUUGAAUGUAUUUAAUGUUUGGAAAUGUUGAUUCUGCAGGUGUUGAUGGAUGCUUCAUUAAGCUCACUACAGGUGCUCAACUACUUGCUACCACUGGUAGAGAUGGCAACAACAACAUAUAUCCACUGGCAUUUGGCAUAGUUGGUCAAGAGGACACACCUAGUUGGUGUUGGUUUCUACACCAACUGAAAAUUUGCCUAGGGGGAGAAGUGGGCAAGUUUGGACCUUAUACUAUAAUGUCAGAUAGACAAAAGGUAUGUGUUUGCAUAUUUCAUUCUGUUUUGAACAAGUGUUUAAAGUAGCUUAGAUUUUCAUUGGUGCAUAUUUCUUUAGCUUGUAGCUUAGACUUGUUAAAUUGUUUGUGUCAGGGGUUAUUGAAUGCAGUGAAUGCCGUGUUUCCAAAUUGCAACCAAAGAUUCUGCCUUAGACAUUUAUAUGCAAAUUUCCAAAAUGCUGGAUUUAGGGGUGAAGAUCUUAAGAAAUGCAUGGAUAAUGCUAGCUAUGCCAACAAUGAACACAUAUUUAAUAUUGCAAUGAAUGAUCUUAGAGCUGAAAGUGAGGAAGUUGGGAAUGGCUUACUACAAUACCAAAAAAAACAUGGGCAAGGCAUGCAUUUGACACAAACUGCAAGACUGACUUGGUAGUGAACAACUUGUCUGAGGUGUUCAACAAGUACAUUCUAGAUGUUAGGAGAAAACCUAUAAGGACAAUGUGUGAUGGGAUAAAAUAUAAGUAGAUGGUGAGGUGGCACAUGAAGAGAGAGUGCAUAAAGGCAGCAAGAUGGGAGAUAACACCUCAUUACAGUGAGAAGCUAGAGGUUGAGAAGGAGAGGGCCAGAUACUGCAAGCCAAUACAGGCAGGGGGUCAACUUAUGGCAAGUUACAAGUGGGCAGCAAACAAAUGUUAUCAACCUGGAACUUGAGACUUGUGGAUGCAAGAAGUGGGACCUUAGUGGCAUACCUUGCAACCAUGCCAUCUCUGCAAUAAACAAGGCUAAAAAUAAACCAGAGGAUUAUGCCAGCAAAUUCUUCAAGAAAGAUUUUUAUGUUGCAGCUUAUGAACCAAUGAUCUUUCCUGUGCCUAGUGAGCAUGAUUGGACAAGGACCCCUAGUCCAGACAUAGAACCACCUGCAUUCAAAAUCAAGAGAGGAAGAAGGAAAGAAAAGAGGGUCAAGGGCAAAUUUGAAGUACCAAAGUCAAAAGACACUUCAAGAAUGGGGACCAUAACAUGUGGCAAUUGUGGUCUACAAGGGCAUAGGUACACAAACUGUCUUAAACAGUUGAAGCCUGAGCUAGCUUUGAGGAAGAAUAAGCAUGUGGUAAUAAUUUUUCACCUUGAAAUAUACUAAUGUUUCCUUUCUUGUACAUUUCUUUCUAUCAUUAUUAACUGUUUCCUUUUCUUUGUAAGGCUACUCCAAGUACCUCACAGCCAAGAGCUGCUGGUCCUUCUACUACACCAAUAGCAAGACAGCCAAGACAUGCUGCUUCUGCUCCUACACCACCAUCAUCUGGAAGAAGAGGAGCUGGCAGAGGAAGAGCUGCUACUACUUCUACUACUCCACCACCAUCUGGAAGAGGAGCUGGCAGAGGAAGAGCUGCUGCUACUUCUACUACCCCGUUCGUCCGCAGCAGCAGCGUCAACUCCACCAGGACCGAGGAGGGCGCGUCGGCAGCGUCAGGGAGGUUCACCUGCCCCGGCGGCCACGGCCACGGUCGGCGCCCACGAGCGGCCGCAUUGCAAGAAAGUCGCUCCGACGACGACAACCGCAGCUGGUAGCAACAGCAACGGCAACAGCGGUGGCGGUGCGAGAUCGGUUUACUACUACGGGUACGGAGGCGGCAGGAGCGGCAGCGACGGCCAUGGUGGCGGCGGGGUCCAGGUGAGCCCGGUGCUGAAUGUGACGUCCAUCGGCACGAGCGUGGUGAACAUGCUGAGCCACCUGCUGUGCGACUGUAGCGAGAAGGCCCCCAAGCAGCAGAGUAGGGGCUUCGGAGUGCGCUGCUGGGUAACCAGGUAGUAAUACAAGCAGUAGUACUACAAGUUAAGCGCACUCGUUAAAAUUGUUAUGAAAGCAACUUAUAUUAUUAGGAGGCCAAUGUCAACAUAUAUACACAUACAUGAGGAUGCCAAAAGGCUACAAGAGGAUGCCAAGAGACUAGAAUGCAAAAGGCCAAAAGACAUCACUUAAUAUGACUCUAACACCCCCCCUCAAACUCAUCGUGGAUCCACAACACUGAGUUUGGAGAGAUGAAAUCCAUGUUGCGCUCUAGUCUGAGCAUUCGUGAAGAAGUCCACUAGAUGUAACUCAGAAGGCACAUACUGAAGAGCAAAAACAUGAUCAUGCACAGCAGCGCGCACAUAAGAAGCAUCAACACCAAUGUGUUUGGUAAGCUCAUGCUUCACGGGGUCCCGCGCAAUACUGAUAGCACCUGUGCUGUCUGACAGGAGGGUGGUAGGUGUAGUAAUAGAAACACCAAAAUCCUCCAGUAACCAUCGUAACCAAGUCACCUCAGCCGUCAGAAGAGCCAUAGCUCGCAACUCGGCCUCUGCACUCAAACGAGAAACUGCAGUUUGUUUCUUCGUCUUCCAGGAAAUGAGGGAACCACCAAGAAAGACACAGUAGGCAGAAAGUGAACGGCGAUCCAUAGGAUCACUAGCCCACGUAGCAUCCGAAUAGGCCUGGAGCUGUAACGAGCUGUAACGGGAAAAAAGAGACAAUGAGAGAUCGUGCCAUGAAGAUAUCGUAGAACGCGAAGAAGGUGACUAUAGUGAACUGAAGUGGGAGCAGAAACGAACUGACUCAGAAUAUGGACAUGAUAGGAGAUAUCUGGACGAGUGACAGCAAGAUACACAAGACUCCCAACAAGAUGACGAUAACGUGUCGGAUCAGACAAGGGCUCACCAUCAGAAGCACGAAGGUGAACAUUGAGCUCCAUAGGAGUAUCAUUAGUGCGCUCAUCACUAAGAGCCGCACGAGUAAGAAGACCCUGGAUAUACUUUUCUUGGGAAAUAAAAAAGUCUGCAGAGGUGGAGGAAACCUCAAUCUCAAGAAAGUAACGAAGAGGACCAAGAUCAGACAUAAAGAACUGCUCAUUAAGACGGGCCUUGACAAAGGCAAUGUACUCAGAAUCAUCGCCGGUGAUGAUCAUGUCAUCAACAUAUAGAAGAAGAAGAGUGCGACCACGAGCAGAAAGGUGGACAAACAACGCUGGAUCGUGAUCACUGGGUGAAAAACCAGCAGCAGUGACCACAGAGGCAAAAUGCUCAAACCAAGCGCGAGGGGCUUGCUUAAGGCCGUAGAGAGAGCGACGAAGACGACAAACCAUGCCAUCGGGAACUGAAUACCCAGGUGGUGGCUGCAUAUAAACCUCCUCAUGCAACUCACCAUUAAGAAAGGCAUUUUUAACAUCAAGCUAUGACACGGACCAGUGACGAAUAGAGGCCACAGCGAAAAGUGUGCGGACAGUGGUCAUAUGGGCCAUAGGAGCAAAAGUCUCAUCAUAAUCACGACCAUGCUCCUGUUGAAAGCCGCGAGCCACAAGACAAGCUUUAUAACGCUCAAGAGAACCAUCAGAGCGAGUCUUAAUCUUAUAGACCCACUUACAAGUUAUGGGACGAACACGGGGAGGAAGAGAAACCAGAUCCCAUGUGCCAUUGCGCUCAAGUGUGGCAAUCUCCUCUGCCAUCGCAAACUGCCAUUCAGGAUGAACAAGAGCAUCACGAUAAGAGGUAGGCUCAAGUACAACCGAAAGGCCAUAUCGGCUAGGAGAAUAGCGGUCAGGAGGAGAGCAAGGUCGAGCCCGAAGACCAUAAGUCGGCUGGGACGAGGAAGACGGUGCACCAGAAGUAGAUGGCACGUCAGUAGAUUCAUCCAUAACACGUCGACAACGGGUAUAAUGAAAAGGAAAAGUGGGAUGAGAAGGAACCACCGGAGGUGAUGGAGAUGGUGAAUACAUUGGUGAUGAAGGUGGAGUGUCAUGCAAUAAGGAAGGAGAAGAAACGAUAGGAGAAGAUGGUGUCGGAUCUGCAAUAGUGGGACGAGAAGGAGGAGUAGGAAUAUGAGGCAUAGAGGGAGGUGUAUCAGGAAACGUGAGAAAAGAUAUAUCCUCUACUGAAAAGGUCGAAGAGGAUGGUCGUGGGUAGAAUGGACGAGACUCAUCAAAAGUCACAUCCCUAGAAAUACGCAUCCGUUGACCGACAUGAUCCCAACACCGAUAACCCUUAGGUUCAUCACUGUAACCCAGAAAAACACACUCAACAGACUGAGCGGUUAGUUUGGUGCGUUCUCAGGGGGCAAGGAGAACAUAACAAACACAACAAACAACCGAAGAGCAGAAUAAUCAGGAGAAUGAUCAGAAAGACGCUCUAGAGGAAUACCUCCCUGUAGAGCAGAUGAGGGUUGAAUGUUUAUGAGAUAUGUGGCAAUGGAGACAGCCUGAGCCCAGAAAUGAGGCGGAAGAGAUGCGGCAAUCAUCAUCGCACGAGAUGUCUCAAGAAGGUGACGAUGCUUGCGCUUAGCCACGCCAUUCUGAGCGUGAGCGCCGGGACAAGAGAAUUGAGCAAGAGUACCCUGCUCGGCAAGAAAACCACGCAACACUUUGGAGAUAUACUCGCCAGCAGAAUCAGCACGAAACACGCGAAUAGGUGUAGAGAACUGAGUGUGGACCAUGGCGGCAAAACGCUUAUAAAUAGAGAGAACCUCGCUACGAGAAGACAUGAAGUAAAGCCAAGUGUAGCGAGAGAAAUCAUCUAUAAAAAUAAUAUAGUAGCGAUGGCCCCCUUUGGAAGAGAAGGGAGCCGGACCCCACACAUCUGAAUGUACUAAAUCAAAAGGGCGCUGCGACACUGACUCGCUAGUAGGAUAAGGUAACUGAACUUGUUUACCAAGCCUACAACCCUGGCAUUGUAAGGAGACAUCUCCUGAGACAGGCCCCAGAAGACCACGACGAACUAAAGACCAUAGUCGAGAACCACAAAGGUGACCAAGUCGAUGAUGCCAUUGCUGGAAGGAGCUGGUAGUUGAAGCGGCAAAGGCAGAUGGACUGGCGAGUGUGGUGGUAGCGGAAGGAACAUUAAGCCAGUCCAACUCCCAAAGCCCUUGAGAAUCACGGUAGCGCGGGCCAGCCCCAACCAGAGCCUUCGUGUGACGAUCCUGGAUAGUGCAAGAAUCAACGUCAAGAAUGACACGACAACCAGAAUCAGUAAGCCGACCCGCAGAAAAUAGGUUCAUGGUAAGGCGAGGCACGUGAGAAACAUCUGGAACAUAAAAGGAAGAAGUGGCAAGAGUGCCUCGACUCGCAACAGGAAUUGGAGUACCAUCAGCAGUAAGAACAUUAAUUGGAAAAUCGAGAGAUCUACGAGAGGACAAGAUAGAAGAAUCGGAGGACAUAUGAAAUGAAGCUCCAGAAUCCAGAACCCAUGAGGAUGUACCUGACUGUGUAGACAGUGGUCGCUCAGCACUAGAAGCACCAGUCACAGAGCCUGCAGUACCUGUCGAAGAACCUGAAGCAGCAAGUAGACGCUUGAGCUUCACAAUAUCUUGCUCAGUCAAGGAGACAGUAGACGGCGUCGAGGAAGAAGCACGAGUUCCAAAAGAAGAAUUGCGCUCCCUAUUACGCAUACCACGCUUCUUCUUGAAGCAGUCAGACUCGGGGUGACCAUCCCUGUUGCAGUAGUCACAAUGAGUACGAGGACGAGAGCGGCCUUCACGAGAGCGGGCCUCACUACCCGGAGGAGUGGGCAGUAGCGGCGGAGCACUGGAGUGAGAAGACAUUGGUGGAGUAGCACCUCAAGCAGAGAGCACAGAGGGAACCUGAAGCAAACCAGCACCACGGAGGUGAGUCUCCUCAGCACGAAGCUCAGAAAGCACCUCAGAAAUAGGAACCCGGCCACGGGCAAACAACUGAGCACGUCGAGGCUCAAACUCCCCACGGAGCCGUGACAAGAACUCAUAGACGCGCUGAAACUCCAAGUCUGACCUCACAGUCUGGCAACACGGGCAAGUGCCACAAACAAUAGUGCGAAGGGAGUCAAGCUGGCGCCAUAUAGCAGAACUCUGAGUGUAGAACUCAUCAAUAGUGGAGUCUUCCUGCUGAAGAGCAUGCUCCUGACGGACCACAGACAAGUAGAGAGCAUCACCAGAGGGCUGAUAGCGCUGACGAAGAUGAGUCCACAUCUCAAAGACAGUACUGAGGCCUAUAAAUUCAGAAGCAAACUGAGGCAAAACACUGGAAGUGAGAACAGUCGCAGCACGAGCAUCAUCAUCACACCACUGAGUGUAAGCAGCCAGAUCGUCACGAUAAACAGAAAGAGCAUUUGAAUAAUCCAAGACCUCCUGGUCAUAAGCGGCAUCCGCAUCAUCAGCAGCAACCCUGGCUGCAGCCCUAUCAGCAUCAGAAGCAUCUGCGUCAAUAGCCGGUGGUGUCGGCGGUGGGGUAGGAGCCACAGGAGGCACUGGGCGCGGAGGACAGGGGACCUCACCGAAAAGAACACCCCAGAGACGAAUGUCACGCAUGUGAAUGCGCAUAAAGGCAACGAACUCAGCAUAGUUAGCCCCAUCAAAUAUCACUGGGCAGCGCGGGAUGGCAACAUAGCCAGAUGACGCCAAAGACAUGGUGCUCUUUUUUUUUUGAGAAUAGCAAAGAUCACCCAAGACUCAACUGGCCAAGAUGAGAGCGGCCAGAACCAGCAGCAGAUCAAUCAAACGAAAAGCCAGCCGAACAAGGAUCAAAUCGGUUUGACAGAGUUGCGAUCUGGAGCAGUAGACACCCGGACAAGAAACAGCAGCAGCCACUCACGUGACCACGCGAGCGCCCUGCAGGCAGCUGCGGAAGACAGCAGCGUCGCGGACGGGCCGGCGGCCGGUGGCAGCGGCGCAGAUGGGGCGGCGACCGGUGGCGCCGAAGAAGACAACAGUGAUGCAGACGAGGCCGGCGGUCGGGCGGGGACGGAGCGGUUGACCUCCGAUAGCUGCUGCCUCUGCUCGAUCGAGAGAUGAACCGACAGGCGGCUCGAGCAGGCUGCAGCGACGGGCCGGCCUGCAGACGGCAGCAGCGGCGCCGACGAGGACGGCGGCCGGCAGCCGUGGAAGGCAACAGCGCCGCUGACGAGGCCGGCGGCCGGCAGCCACGGAGGAAGACAAACGGCCGGCGGCGACCUUGGAUGAAGACAAGCGGCCAGCGGCUCAAUCGAUCGGGAUGAAAUCCGAUAUAGAAUCCAACACAGCGAUGGAUCAGCUAGCUAGCAUGGACGUGAAGCGCCUGUAGCUGGAGAUGGACAUAGGCAAAAGCAAAAUCACGGACCGGCAGAACAGAGAGCAACGGCGGCCGUGCAGAAGAUUGGACUGGAAGCAGCACGAGUUGCGCGUGUGGAAAAAAAAACCUAGAGCUCUAAUACCAUGUUAUGAAAGCAACUUAUAUUAUUAGGAGGCCAAUGCCAACAUAUAUACAUAUACAUGAGGAUGCCAAAAGGCUACAAGAGGAUGCCAAGAGACUAGAAUGCAAAAGGCCAAAAGACAUCACUUAAUAUAACUCUAACAAAAAUUACUGACUGGUUGUCCACUUGUCGCCAUGGUUGCUUGUAAGUAAAGUAAGAUGGAAAGAUGAAUCAAUCCAUGUGAAUCGUGACCGAUUGAUGGAUUCAGUGCGUCUAUGCGACGGGACAGAGUAUUGCUUUGUGCAUGCAUGGAGGAUGCCCUAGCCCUAUUGGUUGUGUCGUUGGUUAGUGGGUGUCAAGGCAUGGAUAGAUCGGGGGUUGAGAGGGACGUGCAUGUGGUGUUGUGGGGGGAGGAAAGAGAGAUGAUUCAUCGGCCAUGAGAGACCGAUGGAGUGCAUGGGGACUCGGUGUCCCCGCCCGGGUUUCCUGCCGGGCUGGGCUUGCUUGGCGUCGCAGCAUGUCUCUGUCUCUCGCACGGAACACACAGUUUUAUUACUCCAAUCAUACAUACUCCCUCCUUUCCGGUUUAUCAUGUGUUGAUCAAGUACUCCCUCCGGCCCCAAAUAGGGAGUGUACAGGAUCAUGUGCUUGUUUGGGCCGUCGGCAUUGUUUUGGCCGUCGGGGUAUGGCCCUGUUCCGGUAGUGAAUACGUCCGCGCUGGCGUAACAUUUUGCAAAGCGAUUCGAAGGGUUUCCUCGUACUUCCAUUCUUCGGCGGCGUGUUCCAGUAAAGCUGAUCCUGGCAGUUGGUAGGACAUCGGCAACGGCGCUGUGCGUGCAUGUCUCACCGGUCGGCAGCGCGACGUGGACGGCGGCGAGCCUUAACUACGGGAGGUGAGGAGGCUGGAGGGCCGGGAUCACCGACCGCCCACUUGGUGGGCGGCGGACCUGGCCCCAUGCCCAUGCUCUCUCACUAUCGGCGGCCCUGGAUCGGAGGGCUGGAGUGAGGCCCGUGCGCGUCUCGUGAGGCCUUCGUGCCUGACUCAGGCCCGAUCAAUUGAUUUUAAUGCAAAAAUAGAUUAACCUUUCCUUGCUUAAAAAACAACAACAAUUGGUUCCUCUCUUCUGAAGAACUCAUCACAGUCAAAUUUCUGAUAAAUACUUUAUUGAAUCUUUUGCAUGAACUAGACAGAUCCAUGGCGCGCAUGUAUCUUAGCCUAUCUUACACGCAUCGUUUUAUUGUUUCUACGUCGUUUAAUUAGAGCAGCAGCACGAACCACCAUUGUCUGGUUUACAGUGGCUCUUUUUGAAUUCGAAAAACGAGCAGUGGUUCCUGCACGCCUCCUCGGAUUCAUGGCCUUUCUCACAGCUUGCAAAACGCACACACAAGUCCAAGGGGAUUGGUUUUGUUGAACCUGUGCACGAGAAAGUAUAGCAGCGUCAGCAUACAUAAAUUACGUAAGUUACAUGGGUUAGGCUGAAUUACACAUGCAAAAUAUAUAGACAAACGACUGUAGUACCUGCAUGGCAUGAUAAUAGGGUGGUAGACAUCAUCACAAGAGCUACCAAGAGUAGGGCUCUUGUGUUGUUCUUGAUAAGUUCCAUGAGGAAUCGUUUCUUGUUUCUUUAUUUCUACGUAUGUAUCUCCAGGUAUCCUUGUAGUUUGUACUUGUCAGCCUAUGCCUUCUGUGUUGGUGUUUAUAUAAGCAUGAGCAGACCUGGGAGGAUCAGUUCUUGCCCUUCUACUUUUGGCUGGAGUUGAUUAGUACAUAUAAAACUGAAUAGAUGUAUACCAAAGUAUUUUUUGUUAAACAAGGAUAUGUACCAAAGUAUAUCUUGUGCAUAAGUUGUUAUUAAUUGGUUCUUAAGUUUUGAUAUUUGAAAUUAUUUGGUGCUUUAAAAUGACAUACAUAUCACACAGUAAAAAUUAUCUUCGACAUAGCUUGUUAUCUUCUUAAAAAUGGUGGAUUAUUAUUUGCUCUGAAUAUUGGCGAAUGUAAUUAAUUGAUGUUAAGUUCUCUUAAAGUAUAUGAUCUAGAAUCUCCUUUUACUGAUAGGAUCUCAGCUUUUUUAGUAUUGAUCAUUGAUAUUUGAAAUAUUUGACAUGACAAAUAAAAUAUUUUUUGAGGCUACGUGAUAAUAUCAAUAGUAUGUUAUUCGAAUAAGAACAACUAAUUAUUAAUCUAUGUGGAGUGUGCUAGGUCUAAUGCCAAAGCAGACCAUGCACUCCGCAUGUUAAGAUAUGUCUGCAACGCUCGUGGAUACACUUUAUCGGUGUGUAGCAUCCCAAUGUAGUUUCAAGAAAUUCAGUAAAUUCAAUACUGCAACCAAUGCACAUGCCUGACUAGUGUUUAUUUUUUAGGCUACAAGAUCCCGCAACACAGGGAGAAAAGCAGCAACACUACUUGGGUGUGGCCUAUAAGGUCAGAUGCCUCUAACCAAACCGGUAGAUUGAAUGUCUAUAGAGUUCUAGUGCAUAUGUCCACAUGGCACAAAUCAUCCUUCAUCAGAUUAUCCCCCUUAGAAAUCUAUAUAUAGGCAUGAACAUUCUCAAGAAAAUCACUGUCAGAUAUAUAGAAUACAUACAAAUGAAUUUUGUACCAAAGUGCUGAUACAAUAUAUUGUGAUGUACAAUAUGAUGACAACAAUACACGUGUUCUUAUUACAACAUCAUAAAUGGACAUAAAUUAUAUUGACCACUCAGGAGACUGAGAGAUUAUUCAUAGUCUCCAAACAUGUCGGCUGAGGCAUAUUCAACCAUCAAGUUCUUCGUGCCCAUAUGGUCCCCUCAUCAAGUUCUUCGCGGUGCAGCUACCCCUGUCAAGUAAUCCGUAUCCAGAAAAAUUGGCCGGUGAUCAGAGUUGCCCAUAUCAAGGUUAGACAGCCCACACAAUGGGUGUAGUUUCAUCCAUUCAGCGUUCGAAACAGCCCGGUCCAGCCGUUCCCUCAAUCCUCCUCUAAAGAACGUGAAUUUGUCACCAUGGUAGCCAAUAUCUUCUAGUGAGCAAUCUGAGAGUGCAUCCUGGAAUGCCUGAAGCCGAACUUGUUGUCGUGGUGCUCCUCCUUCCUUUUCAGACGAGAAUAAGAUCUCGUUAAAAUCACCAAUCGCAACCCAUGGAAGUCUAGACUGAGCAUGCAAAUCACGAAGGAGUUGAUACGUUCUCUCCUUAUUAUCCCAGUUUGGCUCGCCGUACACACAUGAUAACCUCCACUCUUUCCCAUCCAGUUCCUCCACCGCCACAUCAAUGCAACUAAAGGUAGUAGUCCGGGAGUAGAUCCUAACCUCCUUCUUCCAGACUAGUAACAAUCCACCCUUUCUGCCAUCAAGACUUGGUGCCACAAUUUUAUAAUCCAUCCCCAUCUUCCUCAUCAGAACCUCUGCCUUAUCCUCGUCCAGGUGCGUCUCGUACAAAAAAAACGCAUCUGGAUUAUGUUGCCUCUGGAUGGCCAGAAGCGAGCGAACUGUCGGGGCACCGAGGAGACCCCGACAGUUCCAACUUAUGAGUUUCAUUGUUCCCGGCGACCCUCCCCGGAGGAGGACGCCGAUAUAUCAUUUGUUACCGCUGAAGAUCCCGCCUUCAACCUUUUAUUGUCAUGAAUUCUCUGGCCGAUAUUGCAAACUGUCGUUCCCAUUCGAAUCACCGAUCCAAUGACGUCAACAUGACCUUCAUCCUUACGUAUACAGCAGGGGUCUCUCACCAUACACAAAGACAACGAGGAUCGGAGUUGGACUCCAUCCAGACAGGAGACACGAGCAAGAUCGGCCUCUCCAGGAACGCCCAAGCCACCGCGACUAGACGUUAGACUUCCACGACACGUGAAACGCACCUCAGACGAUCAACAUGGGGAGAAGAAUACGUGGAUCAGACGCGUCGACAGAGGUGGACGCCGGCGCCGAACCGGUGCCGGCGGCAGCGAGGACGUUAACCCUAGGCGGCACUUGGGGUUGAAGUCCGUGCCCUAGCUCUCUCUCGGCGAAGGAAGGGGAGGGGUUGUUGGUUGGGCGUGGGAUUCCGGCUAGCCCCGGUGUUGCUCUCCCGUAGCAGCAGCGUGGGGGUCCCGUGUGCAUCGAGGAGAAAAGAGGAACGAAUCUUACAGUUGAUAUUGUUCGAAACGGAGGGCUGGGGCGCGACCGGCCCAAAUUUGGGCCGGCGCGCCGGCGCAGAUCAUUGCCCUAUCUUUUUUGGUCGAUGAUAUAGCCCUCAUCGGCUUAGAGCACAACCUAGUCCCCUAAUUUGGAGUUCGAUGCGCCCACGGGCUCGAAUGGGCAGGCCUGCGCUUAGUGGACGGGCACACUCCAUUUGCACAGCGGCAUUCCGUAUAUGCCCGCACCUAAAUCCAUACAAAAACUGAAAAACAUACACACUGAAUAGAUCAUCGAUACAUCUUAUGAACACAACAAUGGGACACAGAUAGAGUACAACUCGAUCCAAAAAAGCCGACGGAGUUCAUCACUUAACAAAAAUGCAAGAUUAGAAAGUAAUUAAACCUAGAGAGACAGGCGGAGAAACCUAGAGCGUUGUUUUAUGUCUUGCCAGUGUCCGAGGAGAAGGAGGAACCGAUGAUCCCCACCAUGCGAUGAGUGGCUUGGACCUCCACCCUUGCGAGCCAUGCGGUUCUCUCCGCAGCCGCCAUCGCCCUCUACCUCACCAACCUCUUGGACUCCUCAAGCCCCAUCUGAAGAGCCGCCGCAUUUUUGUCGCCCCAUCGGCGGGCGUUCGUCACCGCAGAGGUGUAGGAGCGACGGAUUGCGUAGCGCCACGUCUCCAUCGAAGGCGGGUGGGAGCAGCUUCAGCACCGAUCUGCAAGACGUGUAGUCGGAGCGGCCCGACGUGGCAUACACCGCCCUAAUUGUGCACCGAGAAGCGCAACCCUUGGCCUCCAGCAACCGAUGUCACGGCCGCGAACUCGGUGAUGCGAGCACUAGCACCCAACGACACCCAGGGGGAGGAGGUGCUGGCGGGGAUGGCCCGGACAACGUUGCGCAGCGCAGAGCGACAACUGCCCUCUCCUACCGCCGGUGUCCUCGAGGACAAGCUCCUGCCUCGAUCCAUCCGCGAGUUGCGGGGGGAAUGCGGAGCACGAGCGCCUCGUCGUUUGGCGUGAACGAGCUCAAGGACUCCGCGACGAGCUUAGCCCAGUUAAUGGAGUCAUCACCGCUGUCGGAUCUGCUUCUGGCUAUUGCAGAGAAAAGGGGAGAGGCCGGGGAGAGCAAGGGGAAGGGGAUGUGAGUGGAGCGGAGAAAUUGAGAGAGUGCGGUUGACUAGGGUUCGUCGUUCAGCUGAGGUAUUUGUGGGGAUAAGUUUUUUCUUUUUCUUUUAGGGGUGUAGCUAAGUUUUAUUGAUCAUAGACCACUUGAAGUGAUAUACAAAAGGAUCAUGAAGAUGGAUCAGCCAAAGGUAUCCAUAGUGGGCCGAUGCGACGUGGAGGCGGUGUCUAUUUAACGUGUUCUGCGUCAAAUAGGCUCGCAACCCACACACACAACUCCGACUGGCCGGCCCAUUGGCGAGCGCGGCAGUCCGCCCCUGUGCUGGUACGGUGCGACAUAAAAAUUCUUCAAAAAAGAAUGAACACUGAAAGUUGUGGAACUGCUAUCGUCUCGCUUAUGAACUGGCAUUGCCAGCCAGUUGAGCUCACCAGGGCACGUUACAAACCAAACGGACAGCGUGACGUUUUAAGAGAGAACUGCAAUGGCGGAUCCGAACACUUUCUAUAAAUUUUUGAACGUUUUUCGGAAAUAGAAAUCCUAUUCCUACAGACAAGUUUUACAAAAACUUCAUGUCGUGUGUGUGGAGAUAACCACAAAUUUGGAGACUACUUUUAUGAACCUUUUUUGGAAUGACACUUUUUAUAUUUUUAUUUGUUUUAGAAAAACGUGAACAUUUUUUAACUUAGUACAAAUUUGAAAAGAGGAACAUUUUUCUGACAAAGGCAAAAAAAAAUUAAACACAAAUAAUAUUUGAUCUUAUGAACAAAAUUUGAAAACAGGAACAUUUUGUGAAAUUAUGAAUAAUUUUUGAAAUUUUGAACAAUAUGUGAAAUUCCCGAACAUUAAAAAAGAAAAAGAAACAUGACAUGCCGAACGUCUGCGCCGGUUGGGUGGACAGGCUGCCAGGCGUUUUACGGUGGAUAUGAGCAGGGUUUACACUAGACUUUGGGUGUUUAGUCUAGGGGUAGGUGUAAUCGGCAAUUUCCUUGGAGCAUCAGCCAUUAUCUUCAAACAUAUCAAAGAUCCUUCUACUCUAGAAGCAUUGGCAGUACGGGAAGGCCUCGAUCUAGCAGCUGAUCUAAACAUCACAAAGGCACAUGUUGCUACAGAUUGCAAGGCUGUUGCAAGUGAGAUUGGCAGGAGAAGCACUUCGGCUUAUGGGCCUGUGGUUAGAGAAAUUGAGUUGCAAGCGUCCUUUUUCAUUUCAUGUAAAGUAGUUUAUCAGUCUAGGAGCUCGAAUUACGAUGCUCACAACUUAGCAAAGCAUGCUCUAACUCUGAGUGUUGGUCGUCAUGUUUGGUUAGGCCAGCGUGAAGGCAUUUUAUUCGUCUCUGUAAACAUUGUGACGACGUAAUAAAGCUUUGCGAGGUUGUCUUAAAAAAAAAUUUGUUUCUCGCAGUUCUCAAAAAAGAAAAGAUGUUUCUCGCAACGCCGAGCAUGCUCGCGGCACCAACCGCGGGCCACUCUCGAAUUCUCUAUCAACUCUGGAGGAGUCGCCUGACACAUCCAGAGAUCACUACACACCCAUUUCUCUUAUAAAGGCGCACAUCCAUGCACGUAGUACAUCGCCUCACACAGUCACACUCACACUCACACAUACGGCUAUUAGGGAUUGCGAACGAGCAAGUCAAUACGAGAGCGCACAGCGCAGCGAGCAGAUCAACUAAGUGAGCAGCGAGCGAAUGGCUCUGGCGCGGUGCAGCGGCGUGCUGGGCAACCCGCUGUCGGUGGACUUCUGGGCGGACGCGGACCCUUUCGGCGGCGCCGUCCGCGCCCUGGCCGAGCGCUGCCCCGAGCUCACGAACGUCCGCGUCGACUGGAAGGAGACGCCAGCCGCGCACGUCUUCACGGCCGACCUCCCCGGCGUCCGGAAGGGCGACGCCAAGGUGGAAGUCGUGGACGGCGACGUGCUGGUCAUCAGCGGCCAGCGCGCCAAGGAGGAGGAGGAGGGUGGCGGCAAGGACGAGCGGUGGCACCGGGUGGAGCGCAGCAGCGGCGGGUUCGAGAGGAGGUUCCGUCUGCCGGGGGGCGUGAGGGUAGACGGGGUGAGCGCGUCCAUGGAGGACGGCGUGCUGACGGUCACCGUGCCCAAGGAGGAAGAGGCCAAGAAGCCGCAGGUCAAGGCCGUGGAGAUCCAAGGCUGCUGAGACCACAAGGGUCAUGGUUGGUUAGUCUCAAAAAAAAGGGAUAUACAUGGUCGAACUAUAUGCAUAUGGCUACACACGACCUACGUACGUGCUGUUACACCUAUGUUGUUUGCUAGGUGAGCGUGCUCAGUGUACUUGUGUGGGAUGUGAUUGCGAUAAUUCGAGCGAGAUAUUGUACUCUAAGUUUUGUAACAUGCAUGGGUUGCCACCUUUGGUUUUUGUCGCGAACGAAUACUCCCUCCAUUCACAAGUAUGCAAUGUUGGGGAUAUUUUAAUAUGAAUUACAUAAAGACUUAAAUGAGUGGAGAAACACGCUAAGGGCUCAUUUGAUUCAAAGGAAUUGCAUAGGAUUUUUAGAGGAUUUGAACCCUUAGAAAUUUUUCCUGUAAUGCUUGUUUGAUUCGUAAGAUUGGCGUCCUUAGGAAUUUUUCCAUAGUAUCCAUUUGUACUACAUUUUGAAGGAAAAAUUCCAUCCACUCAAACCUCUUUGUAGAAUUUCUUUGUUUUUCCUGUGCUAUCAAACAUUCUUUCAAAUCCUGUAGGAUAUUAUAGGACAUGCCAUCAUAUUCCUACAUUUUUCUUAUUCCUUCAUUUUGACAAUCCUGCGAAUCAAAGAGACCCUAAAACGUGUCUAUAUACAUUUCAUUCAACAAAAACUUAAAACAUCUUAUAUCUUUUAACAGAGUGAGUAGAGGAUAGUACCAUUCCCAAUCUUAAAAUCGAUCAUAAAUGGCAAUAUGCUUAUCAUCUUUUAUUUUAGGCCACCCCAUCUCUGGAUUAAAGAUUAGCCCACAAUGACGGCCAAUUUUUUAUCUAUUUACGCACCUUCACUCAGAAGUAGCGCCUUAGGGCAUCUACAACAGUAGAUACUCCGUUUCUUUUAGUCUGCACCAUGAAACAUCAACUGUAAAUAUCAACAUUCACGAUAUGAAAUCAACAUUUUCAAAUCCAUCAUGAAAUGUAUUUUCAUAUUAUAUAGUUUAAGUAUUGUAGAUGUUCAUAUUUUUUAAUAUAAAUUUGGUCAAACUUUGUGUAGUUUGACUUUGACCAAAAUUUAUAGACGGAGUAAAAAGAAACGGAGGGAGUACCUAACUAGGCGCUUAGGCCAACUUCUAGGCGCUUAGGCCAACUUCAUCGCGCGACCCCAAACGGACGUCCGUUUUGUUCGGAUUUUGUCCGUUUGGGCAGCGGGAUGGGGUCGUGUCCGGGCCUGUCUGGGGAUGCGGUGGCCGUGCGUCCAGCGGGCGCUCGCAUCAUUUACCCCAUCUUGUCCGCGUUUAUGUAAAAAAAGGAAGAAACGUGUCAAAUGCCAAAGCCCUACGGCCGCAGUUCAUCACGCACGCCGGCAACAAAGCCAGCGGCCUACACGUCCAUCGCCGGCAUUAGCCAGCGGCCGGCAACACAGGCCGACCUCCAAAAUGAAUGGUUGUCCUCGCCGGUAACACAGCCAGCGGCCGGCAACACAGCCGGCCUUCAAAAUGAAUGUUUUUCUCGCCGGCACAUGGCCAGCGGCCCAGCGGGCGGGCGGCACCAUGUCAGCCUUCAAAAAAGAACGGCCACGGCCGAUCGAACGACUUAGUUCAGGCCGUCGGCGUCGAGCAUCUCCUUCUGCCUGGCCUCGAACCAGGCCCUCGUCUUCUCGCUCAUCUUCGACAAGUCCACGCUCAUGAUCGCCAGGGCCACCUCUUUCGCUUUGGUGGCGGCAUUGGUGGCCUCGAUGUCGAGCUGUUUUUGCCUGGCCUUGACGUUGUCGGCCUCGAUGUCGAGCUGCCGUUGCCGGGCCGCCUCUUGCGGGAGUGAAAAGGGCUAGGCGUUUGAUGCCUGCCUUUGCGCCGAUGCAGCGUCCGAUGCCGGGGUUACUGGGCCUAACUGCCACUCAGUGGGAAAAUUGGUAGGAAAUCGAUCCUGCGCCUCCCUAAGCAUCCUACGUUGUAGGUACCCUUAGAAAUGAUGGUUGUGAAUUCAUAAAAUGUUCACAAAUAAAAAAAUGUUCGAGUAUUGAAAGAACCUUCGAGAAAUUAAUAAAGAUUUUAAAGUAAUGUUUAAAUAUGCAAAACUCACGAAGUUGGAAAGAGCACAAGUUAAAAAAAUUCACAUUUUCUUAAAAGGAUCAUGAUUUUAAAGUGUUCCGAAUUCAAUAAAUUUCCAUGAUUUCUAAAAAUAUUUGUGAAUUUGAAAAAUGUUCAUGAAUUGAAAAAAAUCGCGAAUUUUACGAAUCUUCCGAAUCUAAAAAAAAUCAUGAAUUUGAAAAGAAACAAGGGUUGAAAAAUGUUGACAAUUUUUUUGGAAAAAAAUUAAAGGGACGUGAAAACUAAAAAAGAACAACUGAAUAAAUAACAGGUUUUUUAGACAAAUACAAAACCAGCUGAAAAACCCUAAAACGAUAGUAGUGAGAAACAACAUGGGCUGGCCGCUGGGCCAGGUUCGCUGGAGGCCACAGCCUCGUUUUUUUUUUGCUCGCUUAUUUUUUACUUUUAUUUUAUUGUAUUUAAAUUUAAAAAAUUAAAAAUUAAAAAUAUAUUACAUAAAAUGUUUACAUUGAAAAUUUAAUAAAAAUGUAAACCAAGCAUUUAAAAAAUGUUGAAUUUGUAUACAGAAAAUCUUUCUGUGUAUACCAAAAAUGUAUACAAAACAAUAUACAAUGUGUGAAAAUUUUGAUCAUGUACUUAUAAAAUAUCAAGUAUUUAACAAAAUUAGCAAGCAUUUGAAAAUAUUAAAUAUGUAUAGGAAAAACGUUGAACAUGUUGACAAAAAUAUUAUUCUUGCAUUUGAAAAAUACUAGGCUUGCAUUUGGAAAAAAAUCAAGCAUUUGAAUUUUUUUUAAUGCGGAUAGAGAAAACGUUGACCAUGUAUUAAUAAAAUGUUGAUCUUGUAUUUAAAAAAUAUAAAUUAAGCAUUUGCAAAAGAAUGUUAACUGUGUAUAGGAAAAAUGUUGACAAAGUAAUAAAAAUGGUAAACUUGUAUUUUAUAGAUGCUAAUCAAAGCAUUUGAAAACUUUUCAAAAUGUGCAUAGAAAAAAAGGUUGAAACUAUAUUAAAAAAUUAAUCUUGUAUUUGAAAAAGGUUGGAAAUCUGAACAGAAAAAUAUUGACCGUGUACUAAAAAAUAUUAAACUUGUAUUUAACAAAAAUGCUAAACGAGUAUUAGAAAAAGUUCAUGCCGUAUACGAAAACAUAUAGAAAAUGAUGAAAACCAAGAAAAGAAACUUAAGAAAAUCAAAGCAUAAUGAAGAAAACCAGUUAAAAAAACAAAGAAAAACAGGAAACUGAAAAAAACGGCCUGUUUAACCUUUUUCUUUUCUGACCUGAGAAAAAGUCAACCCAUUGUGUGAUUGAAAACCGCAACCUGCUCGAUCAGUGUAAGCCAACUAGACACCACAACUUGAAUGAUUGCUUACAUCUUUUUUCGUCUUUUCCUUUUUCCUCUUUUCUUUUUUCUUUUUUCUCUAUUCAUGUUUUCCUUUUCUUCCGUUCAAAUUCGUGAUGUUUUUUAUCAAAAUUGGUAAAAUUUUUCAAAUUCAUAAACUUUUUAUAAAAUCCGGUGAACUUUUUUUCAGAAGUGAUGAAGUUUUUUCCGAUCCGCGAACUUUUUUUUAGAAAAUCCGUGUUUUUUUCCCAAAAUCAAUAAAAAUUUCAGUUCGGUGCACUUUUUAUUAUCGAAAUUGAUGUUUUUUUCUAAUCAAUAAGCCUUGUUUUUUUCGGAAUCCGGCAAACUAUUUUUGAAUUCAUGAACUUGUAUUAUCAUAAAUUGAUGAACUUUUUUUCGAACCCUUGAUGUAUUUCUCAAAAUUUGUGAACUUUUUCUCAAAAUUGUUGAACUUUUCUUAAAUAUAUAUUUUUUGAAAUCAAUGCCAUUUUUCAAAUCCAUGAACUUUUCCAAAUGUCUUUGAAAGAUUUUUAUUCAAAAAAAAAUGGCCACCGGUUUUUCAAUAAACAACACAGUUGAAGAGAAAUCUGGAAAAAACAAUUACAGACGCGCGAGCUAGCUGUCGGAAUAAUGGGCCACGGGUAGGCCAACUCGUGGCCCAGGACCUUUCAAGACAUCGGGGCAGGCCGCGCCCCUCAUGUCGAGUCCCUGGGACGACUCCAAGAUAUGACGAGUCCCAGGGACGACUUCAAGUUAUGCCGAGUCCCAGGCGGCGACUCCGCGACAAGCCGAGUCCCAGAUGGCGACUCCAAGACAAGCCGACUCCUGGCCGGCAACCUCGAGAGAGGCUGGCUAUGGAGAGUCGGCCCACGACUCCACCUACAUCUCGAAGGAUGAGGCGGGGUACGGCCACGGCAUGGCAGUCCCCCCCCCUUUGCUUACGACGAGCCGGCAUGGCUACAGUGAGCCGUACCGCUGGAGAUCUCCGGCGAGACGCGGCACUGUGGCCAUGCCUGCCCUGACCUCAGCGACAGUAGGCGGCGCACUGUGCCCACGACGCCGGCCUGUACGACCCAAGGGCGGCUGGGCCGCCCGUUAGUGGGUAGACCGAAGACAGCAUGAGUGCCCUGAAGACGGACCGGAGGGAGUCGGCCCCCUGGAGUCGGCCGACCCCUCCCCCGGGCCCCGCACGCCAUUAACCAGAUAAGAUGGGGAGUGGCGACAGUGAACGCACGCCAGGCGGCGGCGCUGUAGCCAUGACCGCAUGACCAAGCCAGCGUCAUCAGGAGUACCGCUACAGUCUCACGCCUGUCCGUGGGGCCCGCCAGUCGGCGGGCCCCAGUAGUCGGAAGGAAGGACGACGACCUGAGAGACAGACGGCUGGGACCCGUUCCCAGCCGGAUUACUAUUGUACCCCUGGGGGUAGGCCUAUAUAAACCCCCCGGGAAGCCCAUGCAAAGGGUUCGGACCCAGAUAUGAAUAGACCUUAUAUCACAAGAAGGAGAAGCUAGCCUAGCCUUCUCCUACCUCCAGAAACAGCUCCAGGAGCACCAUUAUAACCACUUUGCCAUAGUGACCAUGCGGAGACCCCGCAGAGCAGCAGUAGGGGUGUUAUCUCCUCGGAGAGCCCUGAAGCUGGGUAAGUUCCGCCGGCGUGCAUGUCUUCGCCUCAUCCCGCUUCCGGGCACCAGCGACGUUGUACUCGCUCCCACCAUGAUAAGCCAUCCUUUGGCAUAUGUCGUACCCAACCCCCGACAUUUGGGGCCCACCGUGGGGCGAGGUGCACCGUCGUCCGAAGAUCUGCUUUGGACGGGAACCCUUUUCCUCCCUGGCGAGUGCAGCCAGCCCGGCACGUCAGAUGGAGUUUGCGCCGACGCGCUGCGCGGCGCUGAUAUUGCCUGCGGGGCCAGCAGCCUCGCCGAGCUUAUUGGCGAGGUUGGCCUCUCCGACGAGCCUGCGUUCGACGCAGGCACGAGCGGCCCCGAGAGCCUCCUCGCGGGUCUCCUCGACCAACUCCACGUCGCCGGCGAGCCUGCCAUGGACCUGGAGUCCAUAGGAUCCAUCGACCCGAUGCUGGUCGACUCCGACACCGCGUCGCUCGAUGCGUUUCCCACCAACAUGGUGGUCUACGACGAGCCGCUCCCUUACGCGGGGAGCGACGGAAGCACCAUCACGGAAGUUCUCGUCCUCGAUCACGGCGAGCGUUCUGGAGAAGGAGCGCACGACCCGCUCGACGCGGCUCUGCGAGACCUUACCGCGCCGAUUCCGGGAGACGCUGGAGGCACGCCGCCUUCAGCUUAUUGAGGGCGCGAAAAAAUUGGCAAGCAUGAGGCGCUUGUCAGAAGCGUACCAGCGCGAGAUGGAUCGCGCCGUGGGCGGCUCGCCGGCUCCGACUGGGCAUAGCCGCCUAGGCGCGGUCCGACAACGCGGCGUGGCAAUCGCCAAUCUAUUCGGGGCUGAUCGCCCUGUGUAUGCCACGCCCGCAGAGAACAUCCGCGCUGCCCAGGCGGCGGCAGACGAGCUCGACAACUUCGAGGGCGAAGAGCGCCGCGUGAUGACGGAGCGAGUUCAGCAGCUCCUCGACGCGUCCGCCGCGUAGAACGAGGCCGGCUGCCGCACAGAGGCGCCGCAGCGACAAAACGACGACCCGCCGCCCCGCCGAGACCAAGGCGCGACGUCCCGAACGCCGACUAGCGGGGCCCGUGGAAAGAAGGACAAGGAGCCGGCUGUCAGCCACAGUCGUACUCGCAUCACCAUCGAGCGCGACCAAGACGGCCGCCCCAAAGCGGUGGAACGGCGGGAUGACUAUCUGCCUCCCCCUCCACGCAGAGAAAGGCGUGUCUCCCCGCCGCCCGUGGAACAUCCGACUCUCGGCGACCGUCUCGGCCGCCGAGAGGGAGUCGGAGAAAACGACGCCCGCCACCGGAUCGACCGACUCCACCGGUCCCUGGCGCUGGAAGAAGAAGACGAGUUGGGUCCACCCUGCUUUGGGCCCGCAUCCGAGAUGAGCCCUUUCCCAAAGGGUUCACACUCCCCCGAGACACGCCCAAAUAUACCGGCACCGUGAAGCCGGAAGACUGGCUGAUCGAUUACUCCACAGCCGUCAAUAUAGCGAACGGCAACAAGCGUGUUGCCGUAAGAUAUGUCCCGCUCAUGCUCCAGGGAUCGGCCCGGACAUGGUUAAACAGUCUGAAGCCUCGCAGCAUCAAUAGCUGGGUCGACUUCACCGAGGCCUUCGUCCGCAACUUUACAAGCACGUACAAGCGACCUCCCAAGCCUCGCCAACUCUCCCUGUGCGUGCAAGGUCCCAACGAAUCCACUCGCGACUACCUCACGCGCUGGGGUGAGCUCCGGAACUCCUGCGAAGGCGUGCACGAGGUGCAGGCUAUCGAGUACUUUACUGCCAGGUGUAGAGAAGGCACCCUCCUCAAGCACAAGCUUCUACGCGAUGAGCCGGAGACCCUCGAUGAACUACUGAUCACGGCGGACAAGUACGCCACGGUCGACUCCUCCAUGAAGGCGGAGAUUCAAGUCAGCGCGACUGGCAAAGUCGCUCCUCAGGCUCCAAGAACUCCGGCUGGGGACUCCAGUCGGCAGCAACAGCAGAACGAUCACAAGCGCAAGGCCCCGCAGCCGGCCUCCAACAGCCGGCAAGUGGCGACAGUCGAAGACCAACAGCCGGAGGGACCGCCUCCGGCAAAGCGGCAGAGGGGCGGCAAGUCCAACUGGUUGCCGGCCUUCUCCUACGAGCAAACCCUGGAUGGCCCCUGCAAGUUCCACAGCGGCGCGAAGCCGUCAAACCACACCACCCAAAAAUGCCACUGGCUGACCAGAAUCGCCAAGGGAGACGGCCUACUCCCUCCCCCGCCUGCUGGGCCGCCCCCGCCACAGCCGCCCCAGCGGUCGGCUGUCAGGCCAGUCGGCGCGAUACAAGACGAGUUCCCAGAUGAGCACGGAGCCUAUGUGGUGUUCACCAGUGUGGCAGACGACCGGCACAGCAGGCGCCAACAGCAGCAAGAGGUGAACGCAGUCGCGUCAAGUACUCCAGAAUUCAUGCACUGGUCCGAGAGGCCCAUCAGUUGGAGCAGAGCCGAUCACCGAGAAGUGAUGCCGAGUCCGGGCUCCUACGCCUUGGUCUUAGGCGCCACACUCGCCACAGAUAGGCGGGCUGCUCGUUUCUCGCGAGUGCUGAUAGAUGGAGGCAGCAGUAUCAACAUCCUGUACAAGGAUACGAUGGAGAAGUUAGGAAUCAAGCGAAGACAACUUCAGAGUAGCCGGACUGUGUUCCACGGCAUUGUUCCUAGCCUUUCCUGCUCACCAAUCGGCAAGAUCCUGAUAGAUGUCCUCUUUGGGGACAAAGAUCAUUUCCGCCGAGAGCCAGUCUGGUUUGAAGUGGUGGACCUUGAGAGCCCGUACCAUGUGUUGCUUGGCCGACUAGCUCUGGCCAAGUUCAUGGCUGUCCCCCACUACGCCUACCUUAAAAUGAAGAUGUCAAGUUCCAAGGAAAUUCUGACCGUGGCCGGCGACUACAGAAAGUCGUACGCUUGUGCGGCUGAAAGCAGUCGGCUGGCCGAGUCCCUGGUGAUCGCAGCUGAGAAACGGCUUCUUGAUCGGGUCGUGGCGAUGGCCGGCAAGCAGCCCGAGUUAUCGCCCGACCCCAGUCAGAAGCAGAAGGAUCAUUCAAGCCGACCAAAGAAAUGAAGAAGAUACCUUUGGACCCGGAGCACCCAGAGAGGUACGCUGUCAUGGGCACAGGCCUUGACAGCAAAUAGGAAGGCGAGCUCGUCGAUUUCCUCCGUGAGAAUCGAGACAUCUUCGCAUGGUCCCCAAAAGACAUGCCUGGUAUACCGACGGAAUUCGCCGAGCACAAAUUACAUGUCCGAUCUGAUAUGAAGCCCGUCAGGAAGCCCUUGCGCCGCCUGUUAGAAGAAAAGGGAAGAGUUGUUGGAGAAGAAAUAGCCCGGCUCCUGGCGGCCGGCUUCAUCAUCGAAGUGUUUUUUCCAGAGUGGCUGGCAAACCCAGUACUGGUGCUGAAGAAGAACAAGCAGUGGCGGAUGUGUAUUGACUACACAAGCCUCAACAAAGCCUGCCCCAAGGACCCAUUUGCCCUGCCAAGAAUUGAUCAGGUGAUAGACUCCACAGCCGGAUGCGAGCUGUUGAGUUUCUUGGAUGCAUAUUCAGGGUAUCACCAGAUCAAGCUGAACCCGGCUGACAGACUAAAGACCGCCUUCAUCACGCCGUUUGGUGCCUUCUGCUACCUGACCAUGACGUUCGGCUUGAGGAAUGCCGGCGCCACCUUUCAGCGUUGCAUGUAGAAGUGCCUCCUCAAGCAACUCGGCAGAAAUGCCCACGUCUAUGUGGAUGAUGUGGUGGUGAAGACGGAAAAACGUGGAACUCUGUUGGAAGAUCUCAAGGAAACCUUUGAGAACCUGCGUCGAUUCCAGAUCAAGCUCAACCCCGAGAAAUGCGUAUUCGGAGUACCAGUCGGCCAGCUCCUCGGUUUCCUGGUCUCCGAACGCGGCAUAGAGUGCAAUCCUGUGAAGAUCAAGGCCAUCGAGAGGAUGGAAGCACCCAGACGACUGUUAGAUGUGCAAAAGUUCACCGGCUGUCUGGCGCCCAUCAGCCGAUUCAUCAGUCGGCUGGGCGAGAAGGCUCUCCCCUGUACCAGCUCAUGAAGAAGACAACCUUUUUUGAAUGGACUCCCAAGGCGGACGAAGCUUUUCUCCAGCUAAAGAAGAUGUUGACUACUCCCCCUGUGCUGGCGGCUGCGACUCCCAAAGAUCCCAUGCUCCUAUACAUUGCUGCCACCAGCCGGGUAGUCAGCACAGUCAUUAUAGUCGAGCGCAAGGAGGAAGGCAAGGCGCUACCUGUCCAGAGACCGGUAUAUUACCUGGACGAGGUACUGUCGGCCUCCAAGCAGAACUACCCCCACUACCAGAAGAUGUGCUACGGCGUGCAUUUUGCCGCCAAGAAAUUGAAGCCUUACUUCCAGGAGCAUCCAAUCACCAUGGUCUGCACAGCCCCACUAGCCGAGAUCAUCGGAAGCCGAGAUGCUUCUGGCCGAGUGGCCAAAUGGGCCAUUGACCUAGCUCCCUACACCAUCUACUACGAGCCCCGCACUGCCAUCAAGUCACAAGCGCUGGCCGACUUCCUCGUCGAUUGGGCCGAGACCCAGUAUCUACCGCCAGCGCCCGACUCCACCCAUUGGCGGAUGCACUUCGAUGGCUCCAAGAUGCGCACCGGCCUGGGAGCCGGCGUCGUCCUCACUUCCCCCAAGGGCGACAAGCUCAGAUAUGCGCUGCAGAUCCAUUUCGCCGCCUCCAACAACGUGGCCGAGUACGAAGCGCUCAUCCACGGGCUCCGGCUUGCCAAAGAGCUCGGCAUUCGCCGGAUCCUGUGUUAUGGCGACUCUGACUUGGUGGACCAGCAAUCAUCUGGCGAUUGGGACGCCAAGGACGCAAACAUGGCGAGCUACCGAUUCCUGGUGCAGCAACUCAGCGGAUACUUCGAGGGGUGCGAGUUCCUCCACGUGCCAAGAAACGACAACGACCAAGCAGACGCCUUGGCACGGAUCGGCUCCACUCGCCAAGCAAUACCAUCCGGCAUCGCCCUUCGGCGCCUCCUCAAGCCUUCUAUCAAGCCGUCACCAGAAUCAGAUACAAUCUUUGUGCCGACUCCACCUGAAGAAGUCGGAUCCGACUCCAAGAAAGACACAGUCGAAGCCGGCCCGGGGACUUCAGAACCCGGCCCGGGGACUGCGGUGGCAAGAUCGAAGACUCCCGAGGCCGGCCCGGGGACUGCUCCAGUCGACCCGGGGACUUCGUCAAGUCAGCAAGCGGCUGCGGACUCCAACCCGCCGCCUCCCAGCCCAGCCGCCCUUGUCCAAGUCGCACUGGUAGCAAUCAAAGAAAUAGCAACACCCUCAUGAGCCCAGCCCAUCCUCAAGUUCCUAGUAAACAGAGAGCUGCCAACUGAUGAAAUCUUAGCUCGGCAAGUGCAACACCGAGCAGCAGCUUAUACCAUAGUCAAUAGAGAGCUGGUCAGGCGCAGCGUCACUGGUGUCUACCAAUGCUGCGUCGAGGUAGAACAAGGCCAAGCAAUUCUCAGAGAUGUCCAUGAAGGCGAGUGCGGCCACCAUGCGGCCUCAAGGGCACUCGUUGCCAAAGCCUUCCGGCACGGUUUCUUCUGGCCAACUGCCCUGGAAGAGGCCAAAGAGUUAGUCCAAAAGUGCAAAGGGUGCCAGAUUUUCCGUUCCAAGCCACUUCAGCCAGCUUCGGCACUCAAGACUAUCCCCAUCACCUGGCCCUUUGCAGUCUGGGGCCUGGACAUGGUGGGACCAUUCAAGACGGCACGAGGUGGCUUGACUCAUCUACUUGUCGCAGUGGACAAGUUCACCAAGUGGGUAGAAGUGAAACCCAUCAAGAAGCUAAAUGGUCCGACUGCAGUGACCUUCAUCGCCGACAUCACGACUCGGUAUGGCAUCCCGCACAGCAUCAUCACCGACAAUGGCACAAAUUUUGCCAAAGGCGCCUUGGCCCGUUUCUGUGCGACGCAGGGCAUCCGACUGGACUUAGCGUCCGUUGCCCAUCCGCAGUCAAAUGGCCAGGUGGAGCGGGUAAAUGGCCUCAUCUUAUCCGGCAUCAAGCCUCGACUGGUCGUGCCGCUGGAGUGGUCGGCCGGCUGCUGGCUUGAGGAACUGCCGGCCGUCCUCUGGAGUCUGCGCACGACUCCAAACAAGUCAACCUGCUUCACACCCUUCUUCCUCGUCUACGGUGCCGAAGCCGUCAUCCCGACGGACAUAGAAUUCGACUCCCCGCGAGUCACCGUGUACACCGAGGAAGAAGCAGAAGAAGCACGUCAAGACGGCAUCGAUCUGCUGGAAGAGGGCCGGCUGUUGGCACUCAGCCGGUCCAGCAUCUACCAGCAGAGUCUGCGUCGAUACUACAACAGGAAGGUCAGGCCAAGAUCUUUUCAAGAGAGCGACCUUGUGCUCCGACCGAUCCAGCGAAUAGCCGGCCAGCACAAGCUGUUAGCGCCUUGGGAAGGCCCCUUCAUCAUCAGUAAGGUGCUGGGAAACGACUUCUACUACCUGAUCGAUGCUCAGAAGCCCCGAGCACACAAGAGGGACGACUCCGGCAAAGAGACAGAGCGCCCGUGGAAUGCAAAUCUUCUUCGAAGAUUUUACAGUUGAUGCAGUAUGUAUCACGCUACCCCUUUGUAUUAAAGUACUAAGACUUUGGGCCCCCCGAGACGAGCUCGGGGACUGCCCUUUUUUGUUAUCUGUAUGAUAAAAAUUGUGCCUUCGAGUAUGUUACUCUACUGUUAAAAGCCGCUUGGUACCGGGCCAGACUAGUCGGCCCGGGGACUCGCCGCCUCGCGCUAUGAGGAGCUUCCCGCAGUCAGACAAGUAGUGUGUGGUGCCUAGUCCAUCUCCUGACAAAGCCGCAGCUCGCAGAAGCGACUGUUUGGUGGCCAGGAGUGAGGAAGAACGGGUGCCCACACGAAAAAUGGCUAAGGACCCAAAGCACAAACAUAGCGUAAGACGGUUUCCAGCAUUUCUGAAGCAAAAAGCCGACUCAUGAGUAGUCGGCUUGCCGCUUCUAUUAGCCUUUAUCAAGGAUGGCCGACUCUUGGGUAGUCGGCCUGCCGCUUUCUAUCCGACUUGCUAAAAGAAACUCUAAAAUGGCCAAGUACUUGCCCUCCCAAAGUAGCCAAGCAUUUGACCCAGCGACAGUCUGCAGAGCGGCUGUCCGACUGGCAAGGCAGCGACUAAAGGAAGGCGGCAAAGGGAAAAGCCUAAAGAGCAGUAAGCAAGGAAAGAAAGAACUCGAAUAAAUAUUUACAUAGGCCCUUGGCCGAAUCUUUGAGUAGAAGUUCAAGAUACACCCUGCGGGUGGAACUGUUCGAAUUUAAGAAAGUUUUCCAAAAGAUUACUAAGACAGAUAAAGCAGAGGCAAAAACGGCAGCCUAGGAGGCGGCAUCUGGGAUCGGAGGAUCGGAGGAGACGGCGGUGUCAGGCGCCGGGGCGGUCGGCUGGGCGGUCUCGGUCUGAUCGCCUCCGGCGGCAGUCGCCUUCUCUCGACGCAGCUCGUUGCUGGAGGCGCAGUCGAGCUGAGGCUGGCCGCCCGCUCCGUCUUCUGGCACCUCCCUCUCGCCUUCGUCCUCCGCCUCGCCUUCCUCCUCGGUGCUGGAGUCAAUCACCUCAGCCGAGUCCUCGCCGAAGUCCGGGUUCAUCCUGAACCACUCUGGCGGCACCUCCUCGUCACCCGCAGCCCGCUCGGGGACGAAGACACUGGUGUCCGUGUAGUCGGCAAUCGCCGCCGCGCGUUCGACAAGGGCACCCUCCACUGCCACCAACUCUGCCUGGGCCUCUGAACGGAACGCGGCCAGCCGGUCCAGGUCCAGCCCCGGAUACCACGCCUUGACAAAUUCCAAGGCCCGGCGUGCCCCGGCCCGGGCCGAGGAACCCUUCCAAGCUUCAAGACGACGGACGGCGACCUCCAGCCAGUCGGCGGUCCGACUGGCGGUGCGCAGAGCCGGCAUGUCUGGCCACAGAGCGGCAACCGCCUGGGCGCUGGCACGCUGAAGCCGGCGCAUCAGCCGGUGGGCCAGACGAAGACGGGCUUCGAUGCUCAGAAGCUGAUCAUCGAUGGUUCGGGGGGCGUUAGGGGCGAUCUCUGCGCCGCUCGCCCUCCACAGCUCACGAUCAGCCUCGAUGGCCAGAGUGACUGCCUGCGAGUGGCCAGGGAAGAAGUCUGCCAAGACAAAAAAAGAAGUGAGUCAAAAAAACCAGAAAUCGGCUCGACCUAUAGUCGGAAACUCGAAGAAAGGAAAGAAACUCACCAUCGACGAUGUUCUCGAUCUCGUGAAAGCCGGAAGUCAGCAUUGCCUCCCUGUCAGUCCAGGAGGAGCGCUCGCUCUCGAACUCGGCCAGGAGAGCAGCCUCCUUCUUCUCGGCCUCGUCCUGCGCCUUCUUGAGCAGCUCCUUCUGCUCGGCCAGCUGCGCAGCCAGCAGGUCGCGCUCUACGCAAGCUUGCUGCACUCCUCCUCCUUGGCGCGUAAGGCGGUACUGGCCUCGCCCAGCUGCUGCUGAAGAGCGGUGUUGACCUCUGAAGAAGAAACAAGACGAAAGAAGAUAAGUCAUCAACAAAGAAAGUCGCUGAGAAGAUCCGGCCCGACUGCUCAGCAGUCGGCCCGAAUCUCGGGGACUACAGCCCACGGGUGCGCCAGCGCGCCCCCGCGAGAAAGAAGAAGGACUCACUUCGGCUCUCCGACAAGUCGGCAGUCCGCCUGCCUAAAUCCUCAAUAUUACGGUUAAAGGCGGUAGCGCGGAGGUUGUGAUACUCCUGCAAUAGUCAUUUAAGACAAAGUUAACAUUUGGAACUCGCCAGAGGGAGUUCCGAACUGCCUGCUCAGCAGCCGGCCCAAAACUCGGGGACUACACCCAGUGGGUGCGCUGGCGCGCCCCCACAGAGAAAAACAAGAAUCAAAAAGAAGAAGGAAACAUACUCGGACGGUCGUCCGUGCUGCUAGAUGCACCCUGGUACAAGAUUGAAGGGCGUCGCCUUCAACGCGCAGCUUCGCCUGGACGUCCAGAAGCGCUUGAUUCAGCGGCCCAGUGCCGCCUCCGCGCAACCACCCGAUGGGCGCGACGCUUGUCGCCUCGGUGUCUGGGGUUGCCGAGCUGGCGGCGCCGGUCUCCCGAGGUCGCGGCGCCGAGGUCGCCCUCUCAAGACGGCGGCGCACCGGCGAGGCGACUUGGAGAAGCAGCCUUGCCUCGGACUCGUCUGCGGUAGGCGGCUCCGGCGGACCUGCCGGCUGUUUGCCGUGCGAUCUCCCAGACGGCGGUGGAGGCGACGGUGGCGGCACGAGCGUGUCCGACAUGGAGGCCUCGCCGCUCUCCUUCUCCACGACGGGAGUCUCGGCGCCGGUUUCUCCAGUCUGCCCCGUGAACUCCGGGGGGGGGGGGCGGCGCCGAAGACAGUGGGGUGACAAACUGCGCCGACUGGCGACGCGCGGCCUCCUUGGCUCGCUGCCUGGCUGCGGCGGCAGCCUCGGCCUCCUCCAGCUUUUUCUUGGCGGAGGCCGCCGCCUUCUCGGCCUCCGCUUUCUCCAAACGGGCGGCCUCCUCCUCGUAGCGCUUCUCCCGCGCGUUUCGCUCCAUCGCCUCCUGGAGGUUGGCGGCGGGGUCAAUCCAACGAGUGUUGGCAGACGUCUCCGCCGACCCCAUGACGGAGGGGGCGACGAUCCUCUCAAGGGAAAGGGGAGCCCUGAAGCAAAAAGGGAAUGAAAAAGAGAAACUCGAACGAGAUUCACCGAGGGAAAAUAAGGACAAGGAAACACUUACGCAGAGACUAGCGGCGGCUUCCUCACUUCCCUGUGGAAGCGAUUGGCCCUCGCGGCCGCCUCCUCCCGCCUGGUCGCGGCGGCCGCCCCCUUGAGCUUCUUCGGCUUGCCGCCGAAUGAACUCGGCCCAGGCUGGCGCCUCUUCAAGCCGCCUUGGCCGGCGGAGGAACCCGCGCCCGACGAGCCGACCCUCGGCUGGUGGCGCGGGACGACUUCCCCUUCGGCAUUGUCAUCAGGCCAGUCAGCGAAUGUGGCCGAGGGCCUGAAGCCGCCUACCGCUCCUCCUCCCCCUCCUUCGGCGUCGGCUUCCAUCGCCGCCGCCCCCAAGUCGGGGUCGUCAACGUCGCUCUCCGCUCGGUCGGGGACGAACUCGCGGGGCGGUCUUGUGACGCCGGCUGCGGGCUGCAUGAGGGGGUUCUAGUUCAAGAAAACCAAUAAAAAUCAGAAGUCGGAGUCAGCUACGAAAAAGGCAAAGCAAUAAAGAGAUGCGACUUACCACCGGAGGGGGGUUGGCGCGCGAGUAUGGUUCCUUGCCGAACUGCCAGUCCUCCCCGAACUCGAAUUUCCCGAUGUGGUUCUCCAUGUUUGCCACCUCUGCGCGGGGCAUGUCCUUGGUGCACAUCCGACUCGGAUCCCGGUGGUCACUCAUCUGACUGAUCAGAUGAGUCCGGCCUUGGAGAAGGAGGACUCGGCGCACCACAAAGGCGGCCGGCAAGUCGGCCCCGACGAGGCCCUCCGACUGCGUCAGAACUCGGAGCCGCGCCACGGCGGCGGCUCCGGCGGGAGUCAAUGUCUUGGCUCGAUGAGACCAGCUGGGAAGCCUCCCAGCCGGUGCGCCGGCUUCGUAAGGCGGCAGAUUGACCCAAUCCCCGUCGGGGGCAACACUCUUCACGUAGAAGUAUGACCGUUGCCACAUCUUCACCGAUUUGAUCAACGCAAUGGCGGGGAACGGGUUGUCGGCCGUCGACCGCCGCAACGCGAUGAAGGCACCGCAUUGAGCCGGCACGUCGGCAACGUGCGUGCCGAGCUUGGAAGAGAAGAAUUCUCCCCACAACUCGAUGGUGGGGAGGACGCCAAGGAAGCCUUCGCACAGAGUGGCGAAGGCGGACAGCAGCACCACCGUGCUUGGGGUGAGGUGGUGCGGCUGGAUCCCGUGAAACUCCAGGAAGGCGCGGAAGAAACCGCUCGCCGGCAGCUCCAGGCCGCGUAUGAGGUGCGAGCGGAAGAUGACCCGCUCGCCCUCCUCCGGCGCCGGCCGAAUCUCCCCCUCCGGCGCGGCGCGGGCGCGCACGAGGUCUGCGCCGGGGAGCCGGCGCGUCAGGCGGAGGAACUCGAUAUGCUCAUCUUCCACCUCCGAGCCGUCCCACACGCCGGAGCGCACGGCGGGGGCCGCGGCGGCGGAGCAAGAGCUCAUCACCGUCGAUGUGGUGUGUUCUUGCUCAACGGCAGCGAAGGGAAGGAAAGGAGGCAAGAGGAGGCGGAGGGAGCGGGGAAGAUGGGCGCGCGUGCUCUGCCGCCCCGCUCCCCCCGCCUACUUAUAGCCUUGUGGGCUGAGAAGCCGAAGGGGGCGGGUGUGGGAUUAACUGUGCACAGGACCCCACGCCCCCCACGAUUUACCCCACGAAGUUACUGCGCGCGGUAACGACGUGGGAGAACCAACCGACCGCACGGCUGCAACGAAUCCGUUCGAAUGCCGAGGCGCGGUAGUGGCGGGCCCCGCCUGACGGCCCGGCCCGUCGCGCGCGUGAGAAGGCAGACUACCCCCGCCGCGUGGCGCCACACAAUAGGACCGCACUGAUGACCACGGGGAAGCGUAUCAGGUACGCCGCCUGGUCUCCCGCCACGACUUUCGAGCUCUUUACGAGGCGGGGCGGCCCUCCGCAAGUCCGACUUUGGAUAGUCAGCCCGAAGGAAGACGGCAGCCGAAGCCCAGAAUCCACUCCCGGAAGAUUGAAACUGUUGAAGCCCCAAGACGCAGUGUCCGCGAAGCUUCACCAGCUUCGGGGACUAAUGUCGGAGUAAUGGGCCACGGGUAGGCCAACCCGAGGCCUAGGACCUUUCAAGACAUCGGGGCAGGCCGCGCCCCUCAUGCCGAGUCCCUGGGACGACUCCAAGAUAUGACGAGUCCCAGGGACGACUCCAAGUUAUGCCGAGUCCCAGGCGGCGACUCCGCGACAAGUCGAGUCCCAGAUGGCGACUCCAAGACAAGCCGACUCCUGGCCGGCAACCUCCAGAGAGGCCGGCUAUGGAGAGUCGGCCCACGACUCCACCUACGUCUCGAAGGACGAGGCGGGGUACGGCCACGGCAUGGCCGUCCCCCCCCCCCCCUUUGCUUACGACGAGCCGUACCGCUGGAGAUCUCCGGCGAGGCACGACACUGUGGCCAUGCCUGCCCUGACCUCAGCCACAGUAGGCGGCGCACUGUGCCCACGACGCCGGCCUGUACGACCCAAGGGCGGCGGGGCCGCCCGUUAGUGGGUAGACCGAAGACGGCAUGAGUGCCCUGAAGACGGACCGGAGGGAGUCGGCCCCCUGGAGUCGGCCGACCCCUCCCCUAGGCCCCGCACGCCAUUAACCAGAUAAGAUGGGGAGUGGCGACAGUGAACGCACGCCAGGCGGCGGCGCUGUAGCCAUGACCUCAUGACCAAGCCAGCGUCAUCAGAAGUACCGCUACAGUCUCAGGCUUGUCCGCGUGGCCCGCCAGUCGGCGGGCCCCAGUAGUCGGAAGGAAGGACGACGGCCUGAGAGACAGACGGUUGGGACCCGUUCCUAGCCGGAUUACUAUUGUACCCCUGGGGGGUAGGCCUAUAUAAACCCCCCGGGAAGCCCAUGCAAAGGGUUCGGACCCAGAUAGGAAUAGACCUUAUAUCACAAGAAGGAGAAGCUAGCCUAGCCUUCUCCUACCUCCAGAAACAGCUCCAGGAGCACCAUUGUAACCACUUUGCCACAGUGACCAUGCGGAGACUCCGCAGAGCAGCAGUAGGGGUGUUAUCUCCUCGGAGAGCCCUGAAGCUGGGUAAGUUCCGCCGGCGUGCAUGUCUUCGCCUCAUCCCGCUUCCGGGCACUGGCGACGUUCUACUCGCUCCCACCAUGAUAAGUCAUCCUUUGGCAUAUGUCGUACCCAACCCCCGACACUAGCGAGUGAGCCAGCCUGGCCCGCAGGCCACAGUGGACAGACGCGGGCGCUAUGAAGGUUAGUUGGCGCUAAAAGCGAUGCUUAGGUUGUCGGGACCUCCUAUGCGCCGCAUUCUGCGGCGACUAUAGAGCGCUACGCACACAGGAGCCGUGUGGCUGGGCCGGCCCAUUAAGACACACAGCCAGUAGUUAACAGCAGUAAAAAUCGAAAAAUAAAAAGAGAUGCCGCAAGGAUUCGAGCACGGGACGUCGCACUGCUUACAACUAGACUAAAUGGCCACAUGUGAACAAAAACGCAUCGCAAACAUAUUUAGCAUGAUACCUUUGCGGGAUAUUCCCAGUUGGAUGUUAUUUUCUGUACAUGUAAAGUAGCAUAUAUAUUUUUGGAAAUUUGAUCACAUUUCAAAAACACACGAAAGAAUUUUUGAAGAAAUGUAAAAAAAAAACUGAAAUUCCAAAAUAGUCUUAGAAAAACGAGAAAUUUUUUGGAAUUUCAAAUAGAUUUUGACAAAAAUAGUAAAAUGAGAAAAACAUUUGUGAAGGUGUUAUUUUUACUUUGGAACAAUUUUUCAAGAUAUUAGAGGACAUUUUUAAAUUUUUAUAUUUUAACAAAAAAGGAAUUAAUUUUGAAACCACGAACUUAUUUCAAAAGAAUUAACAAAAUUUGACGUUCCAAUCAUUUUAAGUCAAAAGACGGAAUGUUCUACGAAACACCAAGUCUUUCCAAAUUUCUGAAAAAAAAUUAAAACUGUUUUUUCAAAAAACAGGAACCUUUUUUGAAAAUCAUGAAGAUUUCUUGGAACGGGAACAUUUUUCCAAAUUCCAAAACAAAAUUUGGAGACGCGAACAUUGAAAUUGAAAUUCCUAAGCAAAAUUUGAAACCACAAACAUUUUUUGAAACUUGGAAAUAAUUUAUGAAUGUGGGACAUGUUUUGAAACUCCACAAAACAUGAAAAUGCGAACAUUUUUUUAAACACAAAUUUUUUUCUGAAAUUGUGAGCAAUGUUUGGAAAUGAGAACAUAUUUUGAAAUUCCUGUACAUUUUCUGAAACAUAAAUUUUGUAUGAAUGUCAAUCUGAAGAGAUUUUUUAUAAAGAGAACAUUUUUCAAAACAUGAACAUAACAAAUAUUUGAAAACGAGAACAUUUUUUGGAAUUACUGAACAUUUUUUAAAAAACACGAACAUUUUUUGAAAUUGUGAACAGAUGUUAAAACAAGUACACUUUUUGAAAACGGGAACAUUUUAUAAAAUUCCUGAACAUUUUUUGAAAACAUUAACAUAAGAAAAUAUUUGAAAACAAGAACAUUUUUUUGAAUUGAAUGAACAUUUUCUAAAACGUGAAGAUUUUUUGAAAUUGUGAACAAAAUUUAAAACAAGAACAUUUUUUGAGAUUCUUGAAAGAAUUUUUGAAACACAGACAUUUUUUAAAAUUGUGAACAAAAUUUGAAAAAGAAAACAUUUUGUGAAGGUGAGAUUUUUUUUUGGAAACAAGAACAUGUUAUAAAAUUCUGAACAGAUAUUGGAUAUUCUCAAACAAAAGAAAAUGAAAAAAAUGAAAGUGCAAAAAAAAGACAAGAAAACAGAAAAAUAAAAUAAAAAUUAUAUACGAAAAAGAAAAAUAAAUAGUAAAAGAAAAGAAACAAAAAGGGGAAAUAGAUAAAACGGUUCAGGAACCUCCUAGAAGGUUGCCAAAACCAUAAAAAACCGGCUGGGAACCACCUAGAAGAUUCCCAAAACCGGAUUCGCACAAAUGUUUGAACGGGCUGGCCUAACAAGAACGCUGGUCGAUCUCCCCCUGUCCGUCCGGUGUACUUCUUGCCGCAUCGAGCGGCAAAUAGGAAUUCGAGUGCUCCUCUUCGGCGCCCUCUGCGCCCCGUAAGGUAGCUGGCGCCUGAAGGAGCUCGGUAGUGGGCCGGCCCAGCAUCCCUCGCAGCAAAAUGCUCAAAAAACAAACUGGCAGAAAAUAUGUCACACACGGGAUUCGAACCCACAUAAGAUUGCUGACAGACUUCACACCUCAACCACUGCAUCAGGAUAACGCAGUUGUUUUAUAUGCGAAAACAGUCUAAUUUGACCCGUAUCCAGCCCCAGUAUAUAUUGUUUGGAAAAAGCGAACGCAAAUUUGAAAAAGUUCACGGAUUUGAAAAAAGUUCACCAGAAUUCGAAAGAAGUUCAUCGAUGAUUAUAAAAAAAGUUCAUGGAUUAAAAAAAAAUUAAUCGUAUUUGAGACAAAAAGUUCACUAGAUUUCGAAAAAAGUUCAUUGAUGUUUAUAAAAAAAGUUCAUGGAUUUCAAAAAAUUUAAUCGGAUUUGAGACCAAAAGUUCACGAAUUUGAAUAAAGUUCAAAUGAUUUCGAAAAAAAGUUCAAUUAUUUUAAAAAAGCUCAUCACUUUUGAUAAAAAAGUUCACCAAUUUGAAAAAAUAAGUUCAUCAAAGUUUAGAAAAAAGUCAAUCGAGUUUGAAAAAAGUUCAUCAAAUUUGAGAAAAGUUCAUCAUAAUUCGAAAAAGUUCACCGGAUCUGGAAAAUAGUCCAUCGAUUUUAUUGGAAAAAGUUCAUCGAAUUCGAAAAAAGUUCAUCAAAUUCAAAAAAAAAUCAUCAAAUUAUAAAAAGUUCAUUGACUUAAAAAUGAGUUCAUCAAAUUUGAAAAAAGUUCAUCGCUUUUGCAAAAAAGUUCACCUAAUUAGAAAAAAGUUCAUCCAAUUUGACGAAAAGUUUAGUACAUUUGAAAAAAGUUCAUCGAAUUUGGAUAAAAGUUCAUCGAACUUGAAAAAUAGUUCAUCAAAUUUUGGAAAAAGUCCAUCAAAGUUGAAUUUUUUUCAUGAAAUCCGGUGAACAUUACGAAUUAGAAAAAGGAAAAAAAGAAAAAGAAAAAAGAAAAAGAAAAGAAGAAAGAAAAAGUAAAUAAGAAAGAAAAAUAAAAGAAGGAACGAAGGAGGUAAGAAAACAUACUUGAUCACAAAACGUUGAGUGGCAGGGUGGUUAUCACGUGGCACGCUGAAUCAGUACAGUGCGUGGACGAGUCCUCCCAGCUACGUCUUCUUUUUUGCAUCCUUUUAGAAAGAAAGAAGGGAAUUAGAAAGAAAGAAGGGAAUUUGGGCCGGCCCGCGUCGUAAGGGAGGAGGGUGUGCGCCCUGUACGAUUAACAGUGUAUUCGGCGGUGAGGGCGCCGAAUAGGUCUUGCUAUAGCGAUGUAUAUAUCUCAUGAAAUAGGACCCCAUGCGAACGGUGAUGGGCUGGCCUAUUGGGCAGUUUCUAAAUGUAUGAGUGGAUUUCGUCGUCUUUCUUCAAGUCUCUGCUGGUUUUAAUUUGUUGAUGUGUGUAUUUUCUCCUUCCUUUUUUUCUUUACCUUUCUUAUUUCCGUUUUCAUGGUUCUUUCUUAUGUUCACUCUUUUUAUUUAUUUAUACUUUUUAUACUCCCUCCAUCCAUAUAUAUAUGGCCUAAUACAUUUUUCGAGGUUGGCUUUAACUGUUCAUAAGAUUAAUAAUGUAUGAGAUGUAUAAUAUGAAAAUAUAUCAUUAGAAGCUCCUUUGACAGUGUGCUUUUUGUAACUUGCAUGUCAUACAUUAUUCCUCUAACAUGUAUUCAAAGUUAGCCGCAAAAAACACAUUACACCAUAUAUAUAUGGAUGGAGGCAGUUUUAUUUCUCUAAACAUGAACAUUCCUGAGUAAACUUGUUCAAAAAUUGAAGCCGCCAAACCUACAGUUCAUAAGUUUGAUGGCUGGAAGGAGAUGAUAGGGGAUAUUAAGAGCAUCUCCAACCAACCCCCACCACUGCCCCCCCCCCCCAAUCCGUCUAGGCGGCCAGUCCGGGCAGUGCCCGAUCCGAAAAACCACACCCAAUCGGACCGUCAAACCGAGCCCAAAUGUUCGAGCUGUCCGACACCCCACAAACGCAGCCCAUACACGGGGCGGAUUUGGUGCAGUUCGGGCAUGCCCGGAUCCGUCCGGCACGUUGGACCGACCAAGGAUGGCCCACAUAAACCCCACAUCAUCCCUACCCAGAGCAAACCCUAGCCCUCAAUCUAAACUGCUAUGCUCCCUUCCAGUGCAGUCCCAUCUCCUUCGCUCCAGUCAUGUCUAGUUCCCGCUGUCUCGCACCACCAUGGAUGGCUCUGACAGUGGAUCAUGAUCUGAACCCGACCCCAUUGAUUGGGAUGCUCUCGCGGCAGAGGUUCGAGCUUUGCACCAUCGGAUAAGGAGCUUUACCUUUGUAUUGCCCUCCGCCCCUGAUGACCCUUGUGCAACUUCGGUGUCUCACUGCAAGCCCACACUCCUGGGCGGCGCUGGGUGCUUGUGCCCUGUCCUCCAAGCCCGUGGAGGCUCCCAGAGUUCGAGGAGUGGGCUGCUCAGAGCGCCAGGCAAAAGGCCGGGGACAACAAGCCGCCGCCAAUGCUUGUCACCUCACCGAAGAGUAGGCCUACAUCGCCCGUCGCCUCGCCUAGUUCACUUGCUCCUUCUCUUCCUCNNNNNNNNNNNNNNNNNNNNNNNNNNNNNNNNNNNNNNNNNNNNNNNNNNNNNNNNNNNNNNNNNNNNNNNNNNNNNNNNNNNNNNNNNNNNNNNNNNNNNNNNNNNNNNNNNNNNNNNNNNNNNNNNNNNNNNNNNNACCCCUACGAGAUCUUCGCCAUGGUCUACCACCGACCGGAGACGACAUGGGGAAGGGCAAGGUAAAGUAGUGAAUCGUCUCCUUUCCUAGUAAAAUUUGUAGUAGAUGAAUCUAGUGAUGAACUAUGUGAUGAAAUUGUCGUCCCUUUUGGUUGUCCGACGCAUUGUAUGACAAACUCCUCUAAAUUUGUGUAUGAUUUCUGUUUGUACGUCACUAGUAGAAAAGGGGGUAUUGGUCCAGGCCGGGUCAGUCCAUUAGUCUCGGUUCAAUCCAGAACCGGGACCAAUGGGGGCAUUGGACCCAGUUCGUGAGCUCCGGGGGCCGGCCGGGCCACGUGGGCCAUUGGUCCCGGUUCGUCUGGACCUUUUGGUCCCGGUUGGUGGGACGAACCGGGACCAAUGUGCCUUAGUCCUGGCCCACCACCAUUGGUCCCGGUUGGUUGCCUGAACUGGGACCAAAGGCUUCCCUUUAGUCCCGGUUCAAGCCACGAACCGGGACCAAUUAAUUGCCUAUAUAUACGCCUGCAAGCAGAGCACUCUCAGUGCUCUGUUUUUCGUGGCCGGCGAGGAGAGAGCUUUGUGGUGCUCUAGCUCACCUCCUAUGCACACGAGGUGUUCGAUGGAAUGCCCGAGCCACACUACUUAACUUUCUCCUCUCCAAGCUCGGUCUCCAAGCUCCAUUUUCCUCAAUAUUUGUCUAGGUUUAGCGGUCCGUCACGUCCUGUCCCCGUCUUCACCGCCGUCGAUCGCCCGCGCCGAUCUCGUCGCCGGCACCACCGUGGUGAGCCUCUUGUUCUUAUCUUCUUUCUGAAAGGAAAAAAAUCUUACUUGUAUGUUUAUAUAUAUAGAUACUUGUAUAAUUUUCUUACUUUUAUUAUUGCAUCUUAUAUAGUGCGAUGGUUUUGGUAUCCGCCCCCGUCGGCCCUCGUCCUGUCUAUGAUUUGGAUGUGGUAUAUAUUAUCUUUUCAUAACUAUUGGUUCAUCUAUUGUUUAUGACAAUUAUGCCGACCAACGUGACAUAGAUUUUAUUUAUCUAGGAGGUUGUUGAACCGGAAAUUCCAACCGACCCUAUUGUCGAGAGGUUAAAUUUAGUUCAAGAAGAAAACAGUUUCUUGAAGGAAAAAAAUAGAAAAAUUGAGGAGGAGGAGGAGAAGAUAUUGGAGUUGCAUGUUGCGGAUGUCGUGGAUGAUCACAUGAUCAAGAUGGAUGCAAUGCGCUUGAAGAUUAGAAAGAUUAGAAAAUAUGCCAUUCAUACCGAGGCUUGGUAUCAUUAUGCCGUUGGAUCAGUUGUUAUAUUGGUUGCGAUUAUGAUCGCAUUUGUUUUCGCAUUGAAAUGUUUUACAUAGUUUCAAUGUAUGGUUUAAUUAAUUUAGAUGCUCUGCAGAGCUUUAUGUUGUUAGAUGAGAACUAUGUAUGUACUUUGGUUUUAAUGUGAUGAUGAACUUCUAUUAAUUUGGUCACUUAAUUAUCUAUUCAUGAUGUUCUGUAAUGAUUUUUGACACACUUAAUUAUAUAUAAUGCACGCAGAUGAACUGGCAAUGGAUGUACGGUUCAAGACACACCUCCGAGUACAUUAAGGGCGUGCAUGAAUUUCUCGAAGUGGCUGAGGCAAACAAGCAGAAUGGUUUUAUGUGUUGUCCAUGCCCUAUAUGUGGGAAUACGAAGUCUUACUCUGACCGGAAAAUCCUUCACACCCACCUGCUUUACAAGGGUUUCAUGCCACACUAUAAUGUUUGGACGAGGCACGGAGAAAUAGGGGUUAUGAUGGAAGACGGCGAAGAAGAAAAGUACGAUGACAACUAUGUGCCCCCUGAAUACGGUGAUGCUACUGAAGAUCAAGAGGAACUAGACGAUGUGCACGAUGAUGCUGCAACAGGCGAAGCUGCUGAAGAUCAAGAAGAACCAGACGAUGUGCCCGAUGAUGAUGAUCUCCGCCGGGUCAUUGUCGAUGCAAGGACGCAAUGCGAAAGUCAAAAGGAGAAGGUGAAGUUCGAUCGCAUGUUAGAGGACCACAAAAAAGGGUUGUACCACAAUUGCGAAGAUGGCAACACAAAGCUCGGUACCAUACUGGAAUUGUUGCAGUGGAAGGCAGAGAAUGAUGUGCCUGACAAAGGAUUUGAGAAGCUACUGAAAAUAUUGAAGAAGAAGCUUCCAAAGGAUAACGAAUUGCCCGACAGUACAUACGCAGCAAAGAAGAUCGUAUGCCCUCUAGGAUUGGAGGUGCAGAAGAUACAUGCAUGCCCUAAUGACUGCAUCCUCUACCGCGGUGCGUACAAGGAUCUGAAUGCAUGCCCGGUAUGCGGUGCAUUACGGUAUAAGAUCAGACGAGAUGACCCUGGUGAUGUUGACGGCGAGCCCCCCAGGAAGAGGGUUCCUGCGAAGGUGAUGUGGUAUGCUCCUAUAAUACCACGGUUGAAAUGUCUGUUCAGAAACGAAGAGCAUGCCAAGUUGAUGCGAUGGCACAGUGAGGACCGUAAGAAAGACGGGAAGUUGAGAGCACCCGCUGACGGGUCGCAGUGGAGAAAAAACGAGAGAAAGUACUGGGAUGAGUUUGCAAGUGACCCAAGGAACCUAUGGUUUGCUUUAAGUGCGGAUGGCAUUAAUCCUUUCGGGGAGCAGAGCAGCAAUCACAUCACCUAGCCCGUGACUCUAUGUAUGUAUAACCUUCCUCCUUGGAUGUGCAUGAAGCGGAAGUUCAUUAUGAUGCCAGUUCUCAUCCAAGGCCCUAAGCAACCCGGCAACGACAUUGAUGUGUACCUAAGGCCAUUAGUUGAAGAACUUUUACAGCUGUGGAAUAGAAACGGUGUACGUACGUGGGAUGAGCACAAACAGGAGGAAUUUCACCUAAAGGCGUUGCUGUUCGUGACCAUCAACGAUUGGUCCGCUGUCAGUAACCUUUCAGGACAGACAAACAAGGGAUACCACACAUGCAUGCACUGUUUACUUGACACCGAUAGUAUAUAAAAAAGUUUUUAUAAUUUUAAAAUAAAAUAAAAUAAAUAAAGCAACAAAGAAAACAAAGAAAACAAAAAAAGUGUUUUCAAAUUCGAAAACUAAUGGCACUAACAGAAAGUUUAUAAUUUUUUUAAAACUAAAAGCAAAAAGAAUUAAAAAAUAAAGCAAAAAACAAAAAAAAUAAAUGAUGCAGAAAACAAAACAAANNNNNNNNNNNNNNNNNNNNNNNNNNNNNNNNNNNNNNNNNNNNNNNNNNNNNNNNNNNNNNNNNNNNNNNNNNNNNNNNNNNNNNNNNNNNNNNNNNNNNNNNNNNNNNNNNNNNNNNNNNNNNNNNNNNNNNNNNNNNNNNNNNNNNNNNNNNNNNNNNNNNNNNNNNNNNNNNNNNNNNNNNNNNNNNNNNNNNNNNNNNNNNNNNNNNNNNNNNNNNNNNNNNNNNNNNNUUUCAAAUUUGAAAACUAAUGGCACUAACAGAAAGUUUAUAAUUUUUCUAAAACUAAAAGCAAAAAGAAUUAAAAAAUAAAUCAAAAAACAAAAGAAAAUAAAUGAUGCAGAAAACAAAACAAAAAAACUGGAAAAUAAUUAAAAAUAGCAACAAAAAGUAUUUUGUUCAAAGUAGAAACAAAAUAAAAUAAAUAAAGCAAGAAAGAACACAAAAAAAACAAAAAAAAUGCCUCCUACUGGGCCCCCACGGUCUGAAUACGACUAGAAACCCUACCAUGGGCCAGGAUUCAGGCCCGCAGUAGGCCUAGAAGGCCCAUCAGGCAAAGCAGUAGCAAAUAGGCCUGCAAGCCUACGGUGGAGAGGAGCUCGAGAAGGGUGCGGCAGUGGGGCUUAUAAACCACUGCGCACCCCUCUCAACUAGUGAGGUAGGACUAAACUUUGGCCCCGACGCGGGCAGCACAGGGACCUUUGGUCCCGGUUGGUGGAACCAACCGGGACUAAAGGGGGGGCAUUAGUCCCGGUGGGUGCCACCAACCGGGACCAAAGGCCGCAGCCUUUGGUCCCNNNNNNNNNNNNNNNNNNNNNNNNNNNNNNNNNNNNNNNNNNNNNNNNNNNNNNNNNNNNNNNNNNNNNNNNNNNNNNNNNNNNNNNNNNNNNNNNNNNNNNNNNNNNNNNNNNNNNNNNNNNNNNNNNNNNNNNNNNNNNNNNNNNNNNNNNNNNNNNNNNNNNNNNNNNNNNNNNNNNNNNNNNNNNNNNNNNNNNNNNNNNNNNNNNNNNNNNNNNNNNNNNNNNNNNNNNNNNNNNNNNNNNNNNNNNNNNNNNNNNNNNNNNNNNNNNNNNNNNNNNNNNNNNNNNNNNNNNNNNNNNNNNNNNNNNNNNNNNNNNNNNNNNNNNNNNNNNNNNNNNNNNNNNNNNNNNNNNNNNNNNNNNNNNNNNNNNNNNNNNNNNNNNNNNNNNNNNNNNNNNNNNNNNNNNNNNNNNNNNNNNNNNNNNNNNNNNNNNNNNNNNNNNNNNNNNNNNNNNNNNNNNNNNNNNNNNNNNNNNNNNNNNNNNNNNNNNNNNNNNNNNNNNNNNNNNNNNNNNNNNNNNNNNNNNNNNNNNNNNNNNNNNNNNNNNNNNNNNNNNNNNNNNNNNNNNNNNNNNNNNNNNNNNNNNNNNNNNNNNNNNNNNNNCCCGUCGUCGCCGUCACCGUCACCGUCGUCGCCGGCCACGCCCCUGCCCCGGCCCGCCGUGGUCGUCGCCGUCGCCCUCGCCGGCCACGCCCCUACCCCGGCCCACCAUGGUCGUCGCCGACGCCCUCGCCGCCGCCGCCGUCGCCCUCGCCGGCCGCCCCCGUUGUGAGCCGCCGCUGUCGAGGCUCUGUGUUCAGUUCUUUUUUUUCAUACAUACAUGUGUAUUUUUUUGUUCAUUGCAUUUUUUUUCAUAUAUAUAAUUAAUGUAUAUAUGUAUGUGGUAGCUAUAUGAUGAAUGGACGUGGCUAUGUAUGUAUGAAUAUAAUGUUCAUAGCAUUUUUUUGUUUAUAUAUGUUUUUUCAUAUAUGUAUUAAUUUUUUAUUUAGGUUGUUAGUAGAUAUCGAUUUUAGGUUAGUGCAUUUUAAUUAGGUUAGUGUAGAGUAAAAAGUAAAAUAGGGAAAAGGAAGAAAAGAGGAAGAAGGAAGAAGGAAGAAGAAGAAGAAAAAGAAUGAGAGGAAAAAGGAAAAUAAGAAGAGGAAGAAAAGGAGAAGAAGAGGAGAGGAAAAUAAGAGGAGAAAUAAAUAAGAAGAAGAAAAAAGAAGAAAAAGAAGAGGAGAAGAAGAAAGGAAUAGAGGAGAAGAAGAAAAAAUAGAAAAAAAAACUAUUUUUUCUUCUUGUCCUCUAUUCCUUUCUUCUUCUUCUUCCUUCUUCCUUCUUCCUCUUUUCUUCCUUUUCCUUAAUUAUUUUCCUUUCUCGAGGGAGAAGAAGAAAAAGAAGAGGAGAAGAAUAAAGAAAGGAAUAGAGGAGAAAUAAAUAAGAAGAACAAAAAAGAAGAAAAGGAAGAGGAGAAGAGGUAAGGAAUAGAGGAGAAAAAGAAAAAAUAGAAAAUUCUAUUUUUUCUUCUUCUCCUCUAUUCCUUUCCUCUUCUCCUCUUUUUAUUUUCUUCUUUUUUUUUUCUUCGAUCUUCUCCUCUAUUCCUUUCUUCUUCUCCUCUUUUUAUUUCUUCUUCGUUUUCUUAUGUUUUAUCGGGUCUGUCGCCUUCGCCCUCACCGCCCCCUCGAGAUAUCUUCGACAUGAGGGGCGGUCGAUAUAUAUAACCCCUCUCGACCGUGAUAACCCUAUACAACGGCAGCACCCCCCUCGGCUCUCUCGCUCGACCAAAACUCUCGAGGCCACCCAAAUUUACCAAGUUAAAAGAGCGUUGUCGUCGAGGCCACCCCAAACCCUUGAAGCGUUGUGUCGAGGCGAUCCCAAACCCUAGAGAAGCAGCGUCGAGGCCACUAACAUGAUUCCUUAUUGUGAUUAGCUAGCUAGUUCUACGUUUGCCACUAAUAUAUAUCCAUCUGUACCAUGUUUGAAUAAUAAUUGACAUGUUGUAAAUAUUUGCAGAAACUAUGGAGCACUACCGAGACGAAGCAACAGAAGCGAUGUUGGGGGAGAUAAUCGCAGAAGGAACUGAUGUCAUUGCGUCAUUUUUCAAUGACGUCGUUGGUCAGGAAGGACUGGGUGAAGAAGAGGGCCAUGUUCAUAAUGGCUCCAUCCCAUUAAUGCCGGUACAAGAAGAGGGCUAUAAUGUUCAUGAUGGCUCCGGUGAUGACCCAAUGGAGGUACAAGAAGGAGACCGUGCUGACUGCUCCGGUGACCGAACCGAGUCCGGCCAGGUGNNNNNNNNNNNNNNNNNNNNNNNNNNNNNNNNNNNNNNNNNNNNNNNNNNNNNNNNNNNNNNNNNNNNNNNNNNNNNNNNNNNNNNNNNNNNNNNNNNNNNNNNNNNNNNNNNNNNNNNNNNNNNNNNNNNNNNNNNNNNNNNNNNNNNNNNNNNNNNNNNNNNNNNNNNNNNNNNNNNNNNNNNNNNNNNNNNNNNNNNNNNNNNNNNNNNNNNNNNNNNNNNNNNNNNNNNNNNNNNNNNNNNNNNNNNNNNNNNNNNNNNNNNNNNNNNNNNNNNNNNNNNNNNNNNNNNNNNNNNNNNNNNNNNNNNNNNNNNNNNNNNNNNNNNNNNNNNNNNNNNNNNNNNNNNNNNNNNNNNNNNNNNNNNNNNNNNNNNNNNNNNNNNNNNNNNNNNNNNNNNNNNNNNNNNNNNNNNNNNNNNNNNNNNNNNNNNNNNNNNCGCGCUGACUAGUUAAUUGAUGCAUUCAUUGUUUUGGUAUAUGUACACAUAUUAAUUACUCUCGUCUUUCUUCCUUUUAAUUUCUAGCCCUCCGGAUCGAGCACAACUUCGAUAAGAAGACGAGGCCCGAAGAAAAAGUUGAGCUCGGAUGAAAGGUUUGAGAUCAUAGAAAUCGCGCCCGACGGCGAACCGAUUGAACCCAUCCGGACAAAGAACGCAUUUUCUGCUCAGUGCGGGGUUCUUAUUAGGGACAAGAUCCUGAUCAGCAUCCAGCAAUGGUAUAAGCCUAAGGACAACCCUGAGGUGUCUUAUGUGAAUGAUAUGCAGAAAGAAGAUCUUUGGACUCAGCUGAAGGCAAAUUUCACCCUACCGCCAGAGGAGGAUCCGGAGAAGCCAGUUAAAGAGCAAUUAAUCAAGUCUUGUGCUCUUAAGAAGAUGGCAGCCCUAUUCAGGAGGUGGAGGAAAGAGUUGAACCAUUUUGUCGAAAAAAAGACACCAGAAUUCAUCGGCAAAUAUGAGAAGAUCAAAGAUCACUGGCCCGCAUUUGUGGCCCACAAGACAUCGGAAAAGAGUAAGAAGAUGUCGGCAACGAACAAGGAAAAUGCUGUGAAGAAGAAGCUUCACCAUCGCACCGGGUCAGGUGGCUACCUCAAAGCCCGUCCUAAGUGGUCCAAGGAGGAGAAUGAUCUGCUUGAAAAAGGGAUCGAACCAGAGACAAUGAGAUGGCCAGACCGUUGCCGGACUUGGUUCUUUGGGGCUGGCGGAACCUUGGACCCUGUAUCAGGGAUGUGCCGUUGGACGAACGAGCAACUGGAACUACCAGUCAAGAACCUUCGACACUAUAUCAAUGCAGCGCGGAAAGGGACGUUCGUACCAGACAGGGAGAAGGACGAGCUCACAAUGGCCAUCGGGAAUCCUGAGCACCCUGGACGGACACGAGGCACGCCAGGCUCCAUUCCAUGGAAGGUUGGUUUUCUGGACGCAGGGGGUUACAAAACCCACAAGAGGAGGAAGAAACUGGAGCAGGGCCAACUGCAGGCACUGCACGAAAGGAUAAUGGGGCUAGAGGAACGAGAAGCAGCAGAUCGCAGCAAACGACCUGCCGAAGCUUCCCCCGAAGCUACCCCGCCAUCUUAGCGGAGAAGCAGCGUGGCUUCCACCGAGCUGCUUCAGCCGGAGCAUGUCUUGACGACUCCUGCCAGCUAUCCCGUGGAUGCUAUCACGGAGUCUCAACAUUGCCACAUUAUGGCGCGAUGGAUGAAUUUGGAGGUCAAGGCGGCUGUUGGCUCUGUUUAUCCUGGUGCACCCGGCACAACUUAUCACUGCCAGCCGAUUCCAGAAGGAUAUGCUAAGGUGAUGGUGGAUGAAAUAACGGAGGGAUUUGAGGAUCUCAUGCUUGACCACCCUACCGGUGAAGGGGAGACUAGGCUGGGUUCUGCUCUGAAGACUCCAUGCCUAUGGCGGAAGGAGCUCAUCAACCUUCCGAACUGGACACCUCCGCCUCCUCCUCCUCCUCCUCCUCCGGCGAGUCAGGGCACUCCGCCUCCUCCAUCGCCUCCUCCUCCGAUGAGUGACGAUCAGGGCACGUGUGGCGGCACUCUGCCUGCUUCUCCAGCGCGUGGCGGCACUCCGCCUCCUUCUCCGCCUGCGCCGGCGCUCCCGAGCAGCCAGCAGCCUCCUCCUUCUCCGCCUCGCUAGCAAGGGCGGAAGAGACCCGCCGCCGCCCCGGCUGCUCUGGGGCGUCGUACUCCUUCUCCUCCGCCUCGUAAGCAAGCACAAAAGAAGACAGACGCCGCAGCCGCUCCGUCUGCUCCGGCGUCUAGCAGCACAACCAGAGGCGGGACGCAAUACAAAUACGGUCCACCUCUCAAGCCUCUAGAGAAGUUAUCGUACGAGAGGACCGAGGAGGAAAACGAUACGAUUGUGCGGACCCACGUGAAGGAGUUCUUUGAAGGGGUGAAAGCAAAGAGACAUCCACCUCCAGAGGAGAAGGUAGAUCCGGUGAAAGCAAAGCACAUUAUCGAUGCCCUGAGGAAACCACCAAAGUCUCCGCCGAGAACCAACUAUGAGCGCAUUACUGAACAGACAUAUCUCCAAGCCCAGCGAUCGAGAACUACUGUCAGUGCUAAAAGGUUAAAAGAACGAGCAAAGGGGAAAAAUUGCCCAGCUCGGCGAACAAGCACAGCAAUCGUGGCCCCCGCUCAAUGUGUCUAAUGCUCCGGGGACGAUGGCCGGUUAUGGCAAUCUUGCAGAUUACCUGCCUGGCAAUCAACUUCCUGAUUUCUUGGAGGUGGACGAACACAGAUACGAGUACGAGAAGCCUCUCGUCAAAGAUGAAAAAUCUCUGACAAUAAUGGUGCGAAGAUUCCAUAAUUGGUACAUGGGAACCUGCAGAGAGUCUGGGGGUACGAAUGCUUUGUAUCUGAAUAUUAAAGAGGAGCACGACCUCGUUGCAAAUGAUCUGUUGACUGUUCCAUUUGAUGAGUUCUUCGAGUUCUUCAAUCAAAAGGCCCUCGAUAAACUAAUGGUCUUUUGCUACUGUCUGUAAGUACUAUUUCUGUCAUUAAGUCUCUAUAUAUAGCUCGACUCUUUCAUUUCAUGUAUUUAUAAUUAAUUAUCCUCAAUAUAUUAUGUAGAUUGAAGAUCGUCGAGUGCAAAAAAACAAGAAAUUUAUGAUAUUGGGUUCAUUAACACAAAUAUCAUAGAUAAAUUUCUGGUUAAAAAGGACAUCAAAGAGGCCGAGGACAACUUGCUACGAUCGUUGAUCAAAAAUCAAAACAAAGAUACCAUACUCUUUCCUUACAACGGCAAGUGAGUGUUACUAUCGUGUGCAUAUUCGGUUUCCCUUAUUACUCGAGCAAGGUUAUAGUAAUGUAAUUGAUGAGUUAUGCAUGCGUGCGUAGGUACCAUUAUAUUCUUCUGGAGAUUAAGCUUGAGCGUGGACUAGUAACCGUCUUAGACUCGAGACGGAAAGAUCCCAAAACCUAUGCAGACAUGACUGAAAUACUCAGCAAGUAAGUUCAAUUGAUCAUUAUCGCACCAUAUUGGCAACUUUUUGUUCAUUCCUGAUAUCUCAAGUAAUAAUAAUUAUUUUCUUUGUCUUACAGGGUUUGGAAACAGUUCACCGCAGAAGCUCCGGGACUGCCGAAGGAGCUGCGAUAUACAUACCCGAAAGUAAGUACUACUGGCUAGCUAGUUGCGCGCAUCUCCCGUUGAUUCUAUAGCUAUACUUUCAUCAAUGCCAUUUAUAAUGCUUCAUUAUCAGUUUGAUUGACCUCUAUUUCUCGUAAAGUGCUUGUGGCAGGAAGAAGGGAAUGAUUUCCGUGGAUACUACGUGUGCGAGUUCAUCCACACCGCGACUUUCAAAAACAAGCGGGGCUACUCUAAAAGACAAUAUGAAGUGCGUAAGCAAUAAUAUUCACAAUUUCAUUUUAUUACACCAUCAUUUCUGUUGAGUUUCAUUCAUAUAUAUGUAUUAAUUAACCCCCUUCUUCAAAUUAGACAUGGCAGAUGCGGAAUGAACUCCUAGAACCAGAUCGCAUGAAAGCAAUUCAAGAAGAAUUGGCGGGAUUCUUUCUUGACCACGUCAUCAAUAAAGCUGGAGAAUACCAUGUGCAAAUUGAUUUCAAUUGCUAGGGGUUUGUAAUUAAGAGAUCUUAUACAUAUUGUACAUGUAUGUAGCCAGUAGCGUUGGAUACAUGAUAUACGAAAACUUGUUGUUCGGCCAAUCUCUCGGAGAAGGAGAGGUCGAUCGAUCACUUCUCUCGGUAUGCAUGACGAACUUCUUUACACAAUGGUUCUCUCGAUCACUUAUGUAUAUAUAGUACGUAGCGUCGACCAAGCACGGACAUAAGAGAGGACACUUCUCUCUAUUAAUUAUCUAGCUAACACAAUAUAUGAAACACCUAAAUUAACCCCCCAAAACCCCCAACCCCCCCUUCUUUGAAAAAAAAAACAAAAACCCCAGCCACUGGAAUGCUGACGCGUGGAUGCCUUUUGGUCCCGGUUGGAGCCACCAACCGGGACCAAAGGCCCCCGGACUGGGCUCGGCGCACAGGGCCACGUGGAGGCACAUUGUUCCCGGUUCGUGUUUGAACCGGGACUAAUGGAUGGAGGUAUUAGUAACGACCCAUUAGUCCCGGUUAAUGAACCGGGACUAAAGGCCCUUACGAACUGGGACUAUUAGGUGUUUUUCUACUAGUGCGUGAUCAACGUUGCAUGGAUUUUAGGGUUGAGAAAUGAGGGGACGGCUGUAGACAAGGCCAAAUGAGGGGUGACCCAUGCUGUCAGCAGAGGCGUCUAUAGAUAUACAGGGGGCCAAUUAGCCAACCGUGGUUGGAGAUGCUCUUAGAUCAGUCUAUACCUUUAACAAGGGCGCGACACAUGCAUGUAGACAUUGCUUGAUCAAUCUAGAGAGUGGAGAUCAUGGAUUUUCACCCAAAAUAUGCAAAUUGGCAUUGACACUGCCUAAGAGCAUGCUACUAACCGACGAUGAAUCGAUGACUCACCACCUGGAUCCCAACGUGACUUGUUUCACUAGUAGAAAAGAGGCCAAUGGUCCACGCCGGUCUAGCCCAUUAGUCCCGGUUCAAUCCAGAACCGGGACCAAUGGGGGCAUUGGACCCGGUUCGUGAGCUCCAGGGGCCGGCCGGGCCACGUGAGCCAUUGGUCCCGGUUCGUCUGGACCUAUUGGUCCCGGUUGGUGGGACAAACCGAGACCAAUGGCCCUCGCUCCUGGCCCACCACCAUUGGUCCCGGUUGGUGGCCUGAACCGGGACCAAAGGACGACCAUUAGUCCCGAUCCAUUCCACCAACCGGGACUAAAGGGUUGGUCCUCGUUGCGGCCAAAGUUUAGUCCCACCUCGCCAACCGGAGGGGAAUCAGACCGGUUUAUAAGCCCCUCCCUCUCUGCCUUAUUGAGCUCAUCUGAAAAUGAAAAUAGAUGCCCUUAUAUAGGGAAUUUAAGCUAAAUUCAUACGGAUUUCUCUUGAAAUUUGUUAUGAAUUUAAUUUGAAUUUCCUCUAUGAGCGCAUCUAUGCUCAUUUCUGAGUAGCUUUUUAUAUAGUUUUUUUCUUUUCUACUAUAUUUAUUUUUUUCUUUUUAUUUCCGAGUUGUAAUAAGUCAUUAAAAACAAGAAUCUAUGCUCAUUUUUUAGUAAAGUUAAUCAUAACUAUUUUUUCUUCUAUUUAUUUUUGAAUUAUAAUAAGUCAUUAAAAAUAAGCAUCUAUGCUCAUAUUUUAGUAAAGUUAAUCACAACUAUUUUUUCUUCUUUUUAUUUCUGAGUUGUACUAAGUCAUUAAAAAUAAGCAUCUAUGCUCCUUUUUUAGUACAGUUAAUCACAAUUAUUUUUUGCUUCAAUUCAUCUCUGAGUNNNNNNNNNNNNNNNNNNNNNNNNNNNNNNNNNNNNNNNNNNNNNNNNNNNNNNNNNNNNNNNNNNNNNNNNNNNNNNNNNNNNNNNNNNNNNNNNNNNNNNNNNNNNNNNNNNNNNNNNNNNNNNNNNNNNNNNNNNNNNNNNNNNNNNNNNNNNNNNNNNNNNNNNNNNNNNNNNNNNNNNNNNNNNNNNNNNNNNNNNNNNNNNNNNNNNNNNNNNNNNNNNNNNNNNNNNNNNNNNNNNNNNNNNNNNNNNNNNNNNNNNNNNNNNNNNNNNNNNNNNNNNNNNNNNNNNNNNNNNNNNNNNNNNNNNNNNNNNNNNNNNNNNNNNNNNNNNNNNNNNNNNNNNNNNNNNNNNNNNNNNNNNNNNNNNNNNNNNNNNNNNNNNNNNNNNNNNNNNNNNNNNNNNNNNNNNNNNNNNNNNNNNNNNNNNNNNNNNNNNNNNNNNNNNNNNNNNNNNNNNNNNNNNNNNNNNNNNNNNNNNNNNNNNNNNNNNNNNNNNNNNNNNNNNNNNNNNNNNNNNNNNNNNNNNNNNNNNNNNNNNNNNNNNNNNNNNNNNNNNNNNNNNNNNNNNNNNNNNNNNNNNNNNNNNNNNNNNNNNNNNNNNNNNNNNNNNNNNNNNNNNNNNNNNNNNNNNNNNNNNNNNNNNNNNNNNNNNNNNNNNNNNNNNNNNNNNNNNNNNNNNNNNNNNNNNNNNNNNNNNNNNNNNNNNNNNNNNNNNNNNNNNNNNNNNNNNNNNNNNCAGCUAUUUUUUUUAUUUCUUAGUUGUAAUAAGUCAUUAAAAAUAAGCAUCUAUGCUCAUUUUUUAGUAAAGUUAAUCAUAACUAUUUUUUCUUAUAUUUAUUUUUGAAUUGUAAUAAGUCAUUAAAAUAAGCAUCUAUGCUCAUAUUUUAGUAAAGUUAAUCACAACUAUUUUCUUUUCUUUUUAUUUCUGAGUUGUAAUAAGUCAUUAAAAUAAGCAUCUAUGCUCCCUUUUUAGUACAGAUAAUCACAACUAUUUUUUGCUUCAAUUCAUUUCUGAGUAGUUCUCUAUAUAGUUUUUUUUCUUUUCAGCUAUAUUAAUUUUUUUCUUUUUAUUUCUGAGUUGUAAUAAGUCAUUAAAAAUAAAAAAGAGGCGCAAUGCUUGUUAAUUUGCUUCAAGCCUUUUGGAAUAGUGUCAACUGCACUGCACAUAGCUCUGUGCAGUCUACCGUAUUCCUCAAGGCUUGAAGCUAACCAACGUGCAGGAGCAUUGGGCCUCUUCGUCAUCGUCUCUGCACUCAGGGCUUAUAAACAGCUGCGAGUGCCUCUCGCUUGGCGAGGUGGGACUAAAAAAACAGCUGCAGGAAGAAUCAAAAUAAAAUAAAAAAAGUGUCACCUAAAGGGCUACCACGGCCAGAAUACGACUAGAAACCCAACAAUGGGCCAGGAUUUAGGCCCUCAAUAGGCCCAAUAGGCCCACAGGCACAUAUAGUGCGUUUAGGCCCGUAAGCCUGCAUUUGAGAGGAGCUCGAGAGGGCAGCGGGACUGAGGCUUAUAAACCACUCUCGAGCUCCCUCAGCUAGUGAGGUGGGACUAAACUUUCGUGCCGCGACGCGGGCAGCACAUGGCCUUUAGUCUCGGUUGGUGGCACCAACCGGAACUAAAGGGGUGCAUUGGUCCCGGUUCGUGGCACCAACCGGUACCAAUGCCCCCCCCUUUAGUCCCGGUUGGAGCCACCAACCGGGACUAAAGGCCUUCAUUUCCCGCCCUUUGGGCUACUGAAAAGAGGCCUUUGGUCCCGGUUGGUGGCACCAACCGGGACUNNNNNNNNNNNNNNNNNNNNNNNNNNNNNNNNNNNNNNNNNNNNNNNNNNNNNNNNNNNNNNNNNNNNNNNNNNNNNNNNNNNNNNNNNNNNNNNNNNNNNNNNNNNNNNNNNNNNNNNNNNNNNNNNNNNNNNNNNNNNNNNNNNNNNNNNNNNNNNNNNNNNNNNNNNNNNNNNNNNNNNNNNNNNNNNNNNNNNNNNNNNNNNNNNNNNNNNNNNNNNNNNNNNNNNNNNNNNNNNNNNNNNNNNNNNNNNNNNNNNNNNNNNNNNNNNNNNNNNNNNNNNNNNNNNNNNNNNNNNNNNNNNNNNNNNNNNNNNNNNNNNNNNNNNNNNNNNNNNNNNNNNNNNNNNNNNNNNNNNNNNNNNNNNNNNNNNNNNNNNNNNNNNNNNNNNNNNNNNNNNNNNNNNNNNNNNNNNNNNNNNNNNNNNNNNNNNNNNNNNNNNNNNNNNNNNNNNNNNNNNNNNNNNNNNNNNNNNNNNNNNNNNNNNNNNNNNNNNNNNNNNNNNNNNNNNNNNNNNNNNNNNNNNNNNNNNNNNNNNNNNNNNNNNNNNNNNNNNNNNNNNNNNNNNNNNNNNNNNNNNNNNNNNNNNNNNNNNNNNNNNNNNNNNNNNNNNNNNNNNNNNNNNNNNNNNNNNNNNNNNNNNNNNNNNNNNNNNNNNNNNNNNNNNNNNNNNNNNNNNNNNNNNNNNNNNNNNNNNNNNNNNNNNNNNNNNNNNNNNNNNNNNNNNNNNNNNNNNNNNNNNNNNNNNNNNNNNNNNNNNNNNNNNNNNNNNNNNNNNNNNNNNNNNNNNNNNNNNNNNNNNNNNNNNNNNNNNNNNNNNNNNNNNNNNNNNNNNNNNNNNNNNNNNNNNNNNNNNNNNNNNNNNNNNNNNNNNNNNNNNNNNNNNNNNNNNNNNNNNNNNNNNNNNNNNNNUGAUUUAAUAAACUAAUUUAUUUUACUAUACUAUAUAUAGAAGUAGUUUGUUUUUAGUAAGUACUACUUAUUUAUUUAUAGUAAGUGCUUAGUUGAACUAGAUAGUUGAAUUAAUUAAUAAAACUACUUUUAUUUAACUAUAUAUAAAAGUAGUUGCCGCAUCAACGUCGGCGAUGCCUAUCCCACAUCCUCGUCGUCGUCGACUCGGCGGUGGAGGCCUGCUUGAUCAGGGCCAUGUUCGGGACUGGGCUCCGUCGGGCUGGUAUUGGGAGGUGCUACCUUCCGGGGGACGUAGGUUGGUGAGGAGGCAGCCCGUUGUUGACCCGAUCCUUGUUUGGUGGCGGUCGCGUGGGCCAGUGACGGUGGUGAGGCAUCCGGACACCGCGGAGGUGGUACGUCACCGUGUCAGCGAGGAGGACGAGCACGUCCGUCGCUACAUGGUUGCAUUGGAGGGCAGAUUCGACAAUAUCUGGCAGGUUCUUUAGGGAUCUUACUGGAGCUAUGAUCCUGUGAUGGUUCCUUAUCUUUGGGUGUCCACCGCCCGCGUCGAUACCCGUCGGGCGCUACGGUUCUAGUUGUAUUAGUGAUAAUAUUCGAUGAUGUACGGACACCAAGAGAUGAUGUACUUUUGCUUAUAAUUAUUGAAUGCAUGCUAAUUUGAAUACUAUACUUUAUUUUAUGAUUUGGUUUUGCUUAUUUUAUGAUUUGGUUUUGCUUAUUGAAUGCUCAUAUUGGAUAAGUUCUCCUUCAUUCCCGUGUGCUAGACAAUUUGAUAUAAUAAUGCAUUUGGGAAUGAAAGGAGGAGCUACGUACAUCGAUCAUCGAUAGCCAACCCAUGAUUAAUAAUAAUGAUCUAGUUUAAUAUUUGAAUUAUGAACGUAGGCCGGAAAUGUCGUACUCAUUGGACGAUGAAAACCGCCCGGGGGAGUGCGACUGGUGCCACGACGACCGAGGUAUCUGCGACAGGUUCAUUGUGUUGGACGAAGAUCGUUGCUUCAGCAUUAAGCUCGAGGAGACCUUCGAUGUUCAUACGGUACGCAACCGACGAUAAUAGUUUUUUUUCGUAAUUACUCAUGACUUCAACUAUUUUAAUCAUGACAAUAUUUUUCAUCUUUUCCAAUUCGACUAGCUUAUCCCAUGCUUUGCAAGACGCUAUGUCUUGGAGAGGAUGGGUUUUGAAGACCAUGAAAGUUUCGAAACCAAAAAAAUUAUCCUAAGUACCCAUCAUGGUGUGGAUUUUCAAGUAAAGCUGUACAAUGCUCAGAGUGUAACCCAUUUUGGUUGCAAAAAUUGGGAAGCACUUUGCAAGAUGUAUGGUUUUGAUGAGGGUAUGCUUGUUACCAUGGAUCUUGGUGAUCCUACAAUCGAGCAAGAGAGACCUACGAUUUUCGUCCUUGUGGAUACACCUCCAAUUCUUCCCCCAUGUGAGCUUAGCAUAGUUAUUAAGUAAUUUAUAUUGUUUAUUUCAAAAUAGUUGACAACUUAUUCUCCAUUGACAGCUUAUUUUCAUUCUUCAAAGAAUGUGCAGAAGAUGGUAGACAGAACCUACUACACCGAAGGCUCCGAACUAACUUAUCAGGAGAAAAAUCAUCUGGUCGCAUUUUGUACUGAUCUUGAGAAUUACAAUGUCUACAAUCGAACUCCUCAACAUUAUGGUCAAUACGUGCCACUAGUGCACGUGUUGAACUACCGUAACUACCAUGGAGAUACCCUGGUAAGAUUUUUUACUAUUACAACAUCCGUGCAUCUUUUUGCACACUUCUAAAACUAGUACAUCAUAUCAUUGCUAACUACGAAGUUAUUACUAUGUUUUUCAACAGAUAAUCCUGAAUGAUUGUGUGCCUCAUCUGAUGUAUACACACGGUAGCCUUCAUGUUUUGAACAUACAACCAGGUCGUCCUACGAAUCUCAACUGUCCAUACCGGGUUUCUAAAAGAAGUGGAGACAUGACAAUCAAAGAAUGGAAAAAAUGUAUGGACAGUCGUAAGGAGCUUCUUGGAAGCAACAUUCAGCGAAGGGCAAAAAUUGGAGACAAGAUGAUCGCCAUUCUUCAUAAUGGAGAGUCAGGGUCUAUAUUGUUUUAAGCUAUUUUACCUUAAGGGUGUUUAGGUCCUACCUGAUACUGAUGAUCAUGUGUUAAGAACAAUUAUUUAGGGUUGGGUUCGAUGACUAUGAGGAUGAUGAUCAUAUGACUUAUUAUUAAUAACGAGUAGAAGUUGUAUGAUGAUGCAUGAUUAGUAUAGGAUGAGUACUCGUUAUUAUAUAUGCUGACGUAUGCGAGCAUGCAUGCGUUAUUAUAUCAGCGGGUAAAAUGAACAUAUAUAGCAGCAGCGUUGGUAAACCAAGGAUGAAGAUAUAAGAGAGGACACUUCUCUCUAUUAGCUAGCUAACAUAACAACCCAAAAAUAACCCCCAAAACCCCUAAAGCAGCCACUUUCCAAAAAAAAACAUGGACUUUUGGUCCCGGUUGGUGGAACCAACCGGGACCAAAAGCCCCCUGACUGGGCUGGGCGCACAGAGCCACGUGGAGGCACAUUAGUCCCGGUUCUUGUUUGAACCGGGACUAAUGGGUGGAGGUAUUAGUAACGACCCAUUAGUCCCGGUUCAUGAACCGGGACUAAAGGCCCUCACGAACCGGGACUAUUAGGUGUUUUUCUACUAGUGUUUUCCCUAGUGGCGUGGAUGGGAGCAGAUUAGGGCUUAUUGUCGCGCUAUCACGCCACUCGGCACUGUUCUGAGCAGCUUAGAGCUGGCGCCGCCAUCUCUACCCUGGGCUGCCGCCCGGAUUUUCGGCGUCCUUUGACUGACACUGUGUGGCUUGCCAGGGGGCGCCUUUGGAAGCCACGACCGAGAAGAGAGGAAAGUGAGAGGUGGCGGCUCGCUAGGUUUUCUAGGAAAAGGAGUGACACAGGGAGUAGUUUCAUAGACUUAUCGAGUUUCUGGUGUACGACGGAUUUUUUUUUACGACGAGUUCAAAAAAUAUGAUGAACUCUUCAACUCUGAACCCACCCCCUGAGUUGAUUAUAAUCCUGGUUGGCUCGAUUGUGAUCAUGUCGGACAUAAAGUCUCAUGCAUGUUGCAGUUAAAUACGUGGCAGUGGGAUGAAAAACAUGUCUUGGUCGUUGCUCCUACGGCUCACGGGGCGACCUAUGCCGCCAACCCAACCACCUCCUCCUCCGCUCUCCUCCCUUGCCGCCAGUUGGACGGUCCGCUGUAGCAGCGGAGACUCGCACUACCUCUAUCUUCCCUCCCCUGCUCCUCUGGCGUGCUUCUUCUCCCGCAAUCGGCGAUGCAGCGUGGAUGUUGCCCCAGCAGAAAACUCCCUGUCUCGUUCGAUCGGGGCCUUCCCUGGUGGCAGCGCGACCCAGGCGGACGUGCGGGUGGUGCGGGGUGACUCCGCCGAGUUCUUGGAGGUGCCGCUCCUCACAGGGAUGCGUUUGGGUCGGCAGUCGUGGAUCGGGUUCUCGGCUGCCGCUAGAUGCUGGAUCUGCCAUAUCCCGCGAGCACCUAAUCAGCAUCAGUGGUUUCCUGUAAGACAAUAGGCUUUGGGGGGAACCGGCACAACCCUCUAGGGGUGGCCUAUCACAUAUAUAUAUAAUGAGGUGGUAUAAAACGUUACAAUAUACACAUGUAAAUACAGUCUAACACCCUCCCUCAAUCUUAGCCACUUUCUAAUGAAUCUAGAAGGGUAAGAUUGCGCCUGCAAGUCUCAAACUGUGGCAAAGGCAAUGGCUUGGUGAAGAUGUCAGCAAGUUGAUCCUUGGAAGAAAUAAACUUGAUCUGUAGUUGCUUCUGAGAGACACGUUCACGCACAAAGUGAUAGUCAACUUCAAUGUGUUUCGUUCGGGCAUGGAAUACCGGAUUUGCAGAAAGGUAUGUAGCACCGAUGUUAUCACACCAAAGAACAGGAGGCUGUGAUUGGGGUAUACUUAACUCCUGAAGCAAGGACUGUACCCAGAUGAUCUCUGAUGUGGCAUUGGCCACAGCCUUAUACUCAGCCUCAGUACUGCUACGCGAGACAGUAGCCUGUUUCCGAGCACUUCAGGCAAUCAGAUUAGAGCCAAAGAAGACAGCAUAACCCCCCGUGGAUCGCCUGUCAUCCGGAUUGCCAGCCCAGUCUGCAUCAGAAUAUGCUGAAAGACAACCAGAGCCAGACGGACGAAUAUGCAAACCAUGAGCCACCGUGAAACGAAUAUAGCGUAAAAUCCGCUUAACAGCAGACCAAUGAGUGUCACGGGGUGACUGCAGAUACUGGUAGACUCGGUUAACAGCAUAGGAAAUGUCUGGUCGCGUGAUCGUCAAGUACUGGAGCCCACCAGCAAUACUCCUGUACUCUGUCGCAUCAGAAGAAGAAAGAAGCACACCAUCAACAGCAUUGAGCUUAUCAGUGGUAGACAUGGGUGUAGUCGUCGGUUUGCACUUAAGCAUCCCAGCUCGCUGCAACAAAUCCAGAGAGUACUUCUUCUGCGUUAUAACAAGGCCAGCAGCACGAGAAGUAACCUCCACACCAAGAAAGUAAUGAAGCUUCCCAAGGUCCUUGACCGCAAAAUCAGCACCAAGUGAGCGAACAAGCGCAGUAGCAGCCGACUGAGAGGAGCUGACCAAAAUGAUAUCAUCUACAUAGACCAACAAGUACAUAGUAACCUCAGGCCUUUGAAGAAGAAACAAUGAGGAGUCAGCAGUUGAUGAUGUGCUUCUUUCUUCUUCUGAUGCGACAGAGUACAUGAGUAUUGUUGGUGGGCUCCAGUACUUGACGAUCACGCGACCAGACAUUUCCUAUGCUGUUAACCGAGUCUGCCAGUAUCUGCAGUCACCCCGUGACACUCAUUGGUCUGCUGUUAAGCGGAUUUUAUGCUAUAUUCGUUUCACGGUGGCUCAUGGUUUGCAUAUUCGGCCGUCUGGCUCUGGUUGUCUUUCAGCAUAUUCUGAUGCAGACUGGGCUGGCAAUCCGGAUGACAGGCGAUCCACGGAUAAAAAGAUCAAAAGGAUGAAAUUCACAAAGCACAUUAUUAUCACGAGUGAGUUUAGGAACUGAAAGAAGAUUACGUGUCACAGAUGGAACUCAAAGAACAUUGCGAAGUUGAAGACUCCUAUUGGCAUGUCUAGUGAGAAGUGAUGCUUGACCAAUAUGAGAGAUGUGCAUACCUGCUCCAUUGGCGGUGUGGAUCUUGUCGGAGCCAUGGUAGGGUUCACGAGUGUGAAGCUUCCCCAUCUCACUAGUCAGGUGCUCUGUCGCCCCAGAGUCCAUGUACCAGUGGGGAUCAAUGGAGUAGGACUGAGUGUGUCCCUGUGGCUUCUGCGGCGGCGGACGAUCAGCCAUGGCGACCUGACGAGCAAAGUUGCGUGUAUCCUUCCCGUCAUUGCCGAGACCAAGAAAACCCCGCUGGAAGCGCUUGUGACACUUCGAGGCCCAGUGCCCAUCGCGACCAUAAAGCUGGCACACACGUGGACCGCCAGCCCCUGGUAGCGUCGCAGUAGGAGGAGGGGCCGAGGCGGGUGGUGGUGACUGCCCCGAAGGAGCCCUGGAUGAAGCAGAGGAGCGACCACCCUUGGUGGCGGCGUUUGUCGAGAGGGCGCCGUUGCCCCUGGAUCGGCGCGUCUCGACUCGUUGCUCAGUAAGCAGGAGGCGUGAAAAGACCUCGUGUGCUGGCAUGGGCGUGGAGUUGCCCCUCUCAUUGAUGAUCUCGACUAGGGCGUCAUACUCCUCAUCAAGACCAUUGACAAUAAACGAGUUGAACUCGGAGUCGGUGAGGGGCUGUCCAAUGGAGGCCAGCGUGUCGGCGAGACUCUUGACUUUGUUGUAGAACUCAGUGGCGGUGGAGUCAAGCUUCUGACACUCCCCAAGUUGGCGACGGAGCCCAGAUACACGAGCCUGCGACUGUGCCGCAAACGAGCGCUCAAGAAUAGUCCAUGCCUCAUGGGACGUCUUGGCGAAGACAACAAGCCCAGCAACGGCCGGAGAGAGCGACCCCUGGAUGGAGGAGAGGUUCGCCUGAUCCUGCCCUGUCCAGACACGGUGAGCCGGAUUAUAGACCGGACCGUGCACGCUGUCAACCAGCGCAGGAGGGCAAGGGAGAGAGCCGUCGACAUAGCCAAGCAGAUAGUGACUCCCAAGAAGCGGAAGAACCUGCGCGCGCCAGAAGAUGUAAUUGUCCGACGACAACUUGAUGGUGAUGAGAUGGCCGAAGUGAAACGGCGGCGGCGGCUGCGAUCCCAUUGAGGAGACUGGCUGAGGUGAGACCACCGUGGAGACAGUCAGAGGGGCAGCCGGCGCGGUGACAGAGGGCGCGAUGGCCGCGGUUGACGCCGCGAAGCCUGCCAGCGCGACGUCCUCCGCCACCAGCGGCGCAGUGGCCGAGGGCGCGACAGCCGCGGUUGACGGGGCGGCGGCGGUGUGGGCCACAAGCGCCUGCCCGGGCGAAGUAGCAGCCGGCGGGAGCGCGAAGAGGGAGCCGACGCUCCGUGUCCCGAUCGACGCCUGAAGGGAGGCGGCAUCCAGCGGCCUCGAGAGAAGUGCCGCGAGGGAGGCCGGCAGAAAACCGGUGGCGGUGGAGCCGGACGCAGCGGCGGACGUCAUAGCAGUCGGGCGACGGCGACGGCGGGCGCGGCGGCGGCGGCGGCGGCGGCAGCGGUUUAGGGUUUUUAGGCGGAAGCGGACAUAACCUAGCGUGAUACCAUGUAAGACAAUAGGCUUUGGGGGGAACCGGCACAACCCUCUAGGGGUGGCCUAUCACAUAUAUAUAUAAUGAGGUGGUAUAAAACGUUACAAUAUACACAUGUAAAUACAGUCUAACAUUUCCAUGGGCAUGGCCCUCCCCUAACUGGUUACCCUUGUGGCUGCUCCGCUGGGUGCCCGACUGCCUGCAUGUAUGCUUGUUUUGUCUAUGUUGUUUGGGUGCAAGUUGCAAGCUUGGGGGCGAAGUGGACAAGGAAUUGCGCUAGUGCAGCAGCAGGAGCAGCCGGCUGUGUGCUUGCGGCAGCCCCUGUGGGCAGUUGGUGAGGUUGGAUCUCUACGAUAUUCGGAGCGAUGGAUCCGGAAGGUGGGCACAACGACACCGUUUGGGCGGGUGCCAUUGUACAAGUGCUCGUGUGUUGCCUCAGCCUUUGGGUGGCAAGCUGGCUCACUCGGGAGGCUUCUGUUAUGUGGGUGUGGUCUUAGCUGCCACCUCGCCCGGUUUUGGGUGUUGUCCGCUUCUCUCCUUGUCUAGUCAUGGCUGCUGGACUUGGGUGUUGAGGUUCGUGUCCUGAGCGAAAGCUCUGCCCGACUGUGUCGAUGCCGGUGACGGUGAUAGCGACACUUUUGUGCAUCGUUUCCCUCCUUGAAGGUGUCAUCGUGGGUGGCUUCCCCCAUCAUGGGCUCUAGGUGAAAACCCUUAGUCUGGCAUUUGCCCAACCCGGGUGGUGGCGGCGUUGUGGCAUCAUUCCCUCCUUGGAGGCUUCUUCUCGUGAGCAAGGUCCUAUUUUAUUGGUCGCCAGUGGUGGGUUUCAAGGACGGCAACUUCUUCUCUUCGUGUUGACGGUUCCAUGCUUUGGCGCUGGUGCUCUGAAGAAGAACUAGGUUUGACAAGGUGGUUGUGCUCGAAGGUCUGCCAUUGAGGUCCUGGCGCCAGUUUCCAUCUACACUCUAGGAUAGUGAGCAUUCCCAUCAUCCGAUGGUGAGGCACCCUUUGAGUUAGGGCAAGGGAGUAGGGGAUUCCUUUUGGCGAUGGAACUGGAGGGCGUUGUUGCGCCGGGCGCCCAGGCGAUGGUGAUGACAUGGUUGCCGUUGACGGCUGGCCCCAUUCUCAAAAAUUGGCAUCGUUCGUACCGUCAAUCCUUUAAUCAUGGUUGAGGGUUCCAAUGUCUUGCUGGUUUUGUUGCUGCUUGUGAGCACCAUUGUAUCUUACCGGUGUUUUUCGUUGUUGCGUGUGUUGUAUUGUGUUGCGUCGUUGGUUGUAAGGGUCUGAUCAAUUUAAAGCUAGGCACCUGCCUUUUCUCUAAAAAAUAUAUGUGGGGGUGCGUUAGCCAUGAAUGAAAUAGUUGUUGGUCAUAUACAUGUUUUAGUUUUUUUAUUUGGUGGGAUGUGUGCAAUUGACAGAAUACGUGUGGUGUGGUUGUCCAUGAAUGGAUUAGUUCAUUGUGUACUCGGGACAGGUGUCAGAAAAGAUAACAACAAAUAAUACCACUCUUGUGAAGAGUUGAUCACUGUGAGGUAGCUCUGUAGCGUAUAGAGUUUUCAUUAACAAAACCAUGAAGAAUAUCAGUGCAUCAAGGCUCUCAACCAAAAACGGAAGUUGCGACACAGAAAAGUUCGGUACAAACGGUUUAUUGAUGUUUUCUUUGGCAUGAAUCAGAUCGAUCCAUAGUGCACAUGUCUACUAAUUGGCCCGAUCUUACACGCCUGAACGUCUUGAGCACAAGAAUACUUUCUAUCUGUUACUUGUAUGGCGUUCAAACAUCGCAGCAGCAAAUGCCACCACCAUCCGGUACGCAGUGGGCUUUAUUGUGUCCAAAAAACUUGCAGUGAUUCAGGCACGCCUCUUCGGAUGCAUGAUCUCUGUGGCAGCUUACAAAAUGAAUACAGUAAUCGAUGAUGGGGAUUGGUUUUUUAUCUACACAUGUUGAAGUAUAGCAGUAUAAGCACGUAUGUACCAGCGUGAAUCGGAACGCACGUAUGUAUCAAAUUUGAACUAAAACCACGACGAGUAAAUCUGAACGGAGGGAGUACUAAAAUGAAUAGGAAAAUAGAUAAACAAACGGAUGUACCUGCGUGACAUGAUAAUAGAGUGGUAGACAUCAUCACCAGAGCUACCAAGCAUAGAGCUGUUGCUGUGUUCUUGAUAUGUGCCAUGAGAGAUG